rnacentral:lncRNA from 1 species
UCAAGCUGAGCAUACCAGACACCAGUGAUCUUGACAUCCUUUGGAGUCUUGGCACCCAAGUCAGUGUCAGAUGGCUGAAGGCUCUCGAACACACCGAUAACUUCACCGGUCUCCGGCUUGCUCUUUGUGACGCUCAAGGUGAUUUUCCCUGAUGAAGAUGCAGCACUCUUGUUGUUCUCCUUGGCUAGCUCUUCCUCAUCCCCUCUUCCUCCAGCAGGCAAGGCCACUGCAUUAUCGUAACCGGUUGAGCCACCCCUUCCCUUUGGGUCCAAGAAAGAUGAGCCACGGUAGGAUGGUACAAGGAAGUCUCCUCCAAAGCUAUCAGGUUUGCCUGAUGCAACCAAUUGCUUGAUGGUGAACAGGAAAGGCACACGCUCACCACCAGGAAGCUGAACUGUGACGGCAGCAUAAUCAAUCCCAUCUUUCUCCUCGAAUUUGAGGGUGCCAUCGGUAGAUACCUCGAAAGGGCCCUCGAUUUCGUCAAGGGUGUAGGUUAAACGGGUCAUGAGCUUGGUGUUUUGGAACUCAGGAGGGGCAUUCUUGUUAACCCCCUCAGCCUUGACAGUGAAGGAAGUGGGCUCCAAGCAGAACUUCUUGGCGUAGUAUUUGCCAGGCUUGAAGGCAAAAGAGUCGACACCACCAUCGAUGGUUGGGCACUGGUUAGCAGUUCCUGUUCCUUUGACUUCCAUGUAUGUCUUGCUUUGGAUUUCAGCGUAGGUUAGCCGCUUUGGAACUCCUUCAGCGCUUGCUCCCUUCAAAACAAACCAGUCAUUGUAACAUAUUUGUUCAGAUCACGGAUCGUAUAUGAUCCUUAUGUAUGCAAUCAACGAUACUUGGCUCAAAUGAAAAAUCCAAAUGACAAAGUUACAACACCAUGCAAGCUCAUUAAGAAUCCUACCUAAGCUACAUAAAAAUAAAUACAGAAAUUUGAAGCAAGUGAGAGGCGAGAAGUACAUACCGAGACAACAAGAGCAGAUGUAGCAAGAGCGAAACCAGCGAGCUUGGUAGCAUCAACACACUUCAGAGCCAAGUCCUUGAGGUCAGUUUGCAAAGAGCAGGUAAGCCUAGCACCAACAGGCUCCAAACCGAAGGCCUUAGAAACGCUCUGGGAGGACCUGAGCGGCACAUUGGUCCUUGAUGGUGCAGCAACCUUGAUUGGUUGCAUCAGGGUAGCUGGAGCUUGAAGUGAGACCGCCAUUGUUACGAACUAUUGGAAAACAAAGAAGAGAGAGUUGUUUUAGUGAGAGCGUAGGGGAAAUUUAGGGGCCAAUUAUGUUGGUGGCAAUGGUGAGAGUAAAGAUAAGGGGAUAGGAUAUGGGAAGUUCCCAUUGGUGGAUGAAGGUAAUGUAUUUGGUUUCAGGGUAUGACACGUGGAGAUUUUGUGAAAUGGGAUAAAAAUAGGUGUUAGUCAUAGUGGAUGAUGUGGAGGGACUACAGAUUUUCUUAAAGUUAGUUCUGCCAUACAAAUUCUGGUGGUUGGCCUUCCUCCACUUGGGCAAUCGUGCUCAGAGAGUACUUUGACUUGGAAAUCAUUUGGUUAAAAUAUGCUGUUAGUCCCUAUAUUUUGAUACAAUCUGAGAUUUAGUCUUUGUACUUAAAAAAUUUUAAAAAUUAAAUCCUACUUUUUUUUUCUUAAAAUCUCAGUGCAAUCAUUAAAAUCACAAGUACUUUCUGUCAAAAUUUUUUAAUUUUUCAUAAGUAUUUUUUGUCAAAUUUUGUUAACUUGAAAUUUUGAUUAGGUUUUUCUCAUAUGAUUGAUAGAAAAUAAAUAUAUUAAGUUGAAAAAUUUUGUUAGAAACUACCAACAAAGAUAAUAAUUGAACUAGGAUUUUUAAAUUGAAAAAUUAGAAUGAUUGAUUUUUUUUUUUUACAUUGUAAGUAUAGGGACAAAAUUUCAAAUCCUACACAAGUACAGGGACCAAAUAAUUUUCAUCAGCUUCUGUUGUGUUUGGGUUCCGUUUGGAUGUAAAAAGUGUCCAAAGUAGCAAGCCCAACCCAAACUAGAAGAGAAGUAAAAUCAUAAAAUAAUGAUGAUGGCCCAUGCAGGUCUCGAACCUGCGACCUUCGCGUUAUUAGCACGACGCUCUAACCAGCUGAGCUAAUAGGCCUUGAUGGCAAAUACGAUUUUAUUAUAUAAAUGAAGAGGCUACAAGAUUUCGUAUAAUAGUUCAAUAAUUCAUACACGUGGAAAGACAGAUUCGUCAUUGACGAUUAUCAACGAGAAUUGACAGUGUUUGUGGGAAAACCAGUCUAAAAUAACCAACCCCUUUCUUUAUUCCUCUGCUUAAUUUAUUCAUAUAUUAGCCCUAUCAUUACUCUUAAGGCAGCACCCUCUGACAUCUGGCAUGCAUCCACAGCAUUUAUGAAGAUUGCUGGUUACCUGCAAAACAAAACUUUAAAGUUGUUUCAUAUUCAUAUUCAACCAAAAACAUCAAGCUUGGCUUUUUUGUCCCUAGCUCGCUUAUCAUGAUCUUCAUCUUUCCUUUCGCUUUUUUGAAACAACAGGUUUAAAUGUCAACAAAUAAAAAUACCCAUUUUCCUAGUAUGUUGUUGUUGGGUAUUGAAGUAAAGAUUAGACGACCUCAAAGAGCAACUAAAACUAUGACAAGUAACCUCAUAUACCAAAAAGUCAAAGAAAAACUAUAACCUGAAACUGGGGUUGCAGGUUGCUGAUUAUUGUUGUUGUUUGUCGCAUUAGUUGUGGAUGGUAUGACAACGCCAGGCCAUGAUCGGCACAUGCAGUGUUUUCCCACAUCUAUGCUGGCAUAGAGUGUGGAUAGAUGUUUCCCACAACCACCCCAAGUGUACUUUCCACAUUGCCUGCAAUCCACCCUGUAACACAUUCUUUAGGAAUUUCUUUGCUGGCAAGAUUUUUAAAUCUUGUACUGAUAUUUGAUAUUGCUUCACAUCUCUUUAUCCUUCUCCUUUUUCGGUCUUUAAAAUGAAACGUUUGCUUUGAUGUAAUCGAACACAUUGUUGCAUAAUUAGCUAAAUAGUAAAAUAGAAACUUUGCCUGCUUAUCUUCUUGUUUGUAUCGCUUUGGCUAGUUAUAUUCCUGUCGUCCAAUUCACUUACAACUAUCCUUUCCGCCCAUGUUUUCAUAAUAAUAACAAUAAUUGUCGAUAGAUAUGUUAAUGCAUUAAAAAAGCUUGGCACUGUUUAAAAUUCACCAAUAGCAACAAAAAAGGAUAAAUGCAUGUCGCAAUACAAAAAUUCCAAUCAGGCUUUUAAAUGUAGGGAAAUGAUUAUAUCUAACCAUUGAUGUACCGCAAUUACAUAUUAGAUACAUUACUAUAUGAGAGCUUUGCACGAAAAUGGUAAGAGUUUUUCAGAAGCAUAUUACAGCAGAAUAUAUCAAUUAUGAAUACAGGCAACCAAAACUGUAGUUUGCUACUACAGAUGGUAAGAUUCAACGGCAGACCCCGAUAACUACUAGUUAGGCAUUAUCAAAAUCUAGGACCCAAAAUCCGGAGGCACUGAUGCCACCUCCCUCAGAUUAUGGGUGGAUUGCAGGUUUCUUUAUUGAGCUCAAUUCUACGGCACCUGCACUCAUCAAAACACACUUCACUCCUCUUCCUACGAUGCCAAGAUGUGUGACAGCCGCGGCCCCAUUUGUGUGAGCAGUGGAAACUGUUGGAGAGUCAAAAUGAUCUACAUUGCUGUUAGCAGGAGACAUAUGUGAAGAGUUCACUGCAGCAGGAGAUGCAUUAUUCUCACCGCCCCUUGCCUUGCCAGAUGCCAUUCCCUGGAUUUCUGCAAUAAUCAACGUUGGGUCGGAGAUCAGCUGCUCUAGAUCUUCAAGCUACAAAUAUGGAAAUAGACAGAAUAAUAAAGUAUGUUUUACAUCAUUAUUAUUUAGUUCAAAUAGAUCAUCAAAAUUGCACUUGCCUUCUUUUCCAGGUCUUCAGCAAGUCCAACAAGAUUGUCAAUUUCUGCUUCUUUAUCUGUCAAUUUCUGCUUCUUUAUCUUUGACAGAUAGAACAGUCUGAGAGCCCUUAGACAGUUGUUCACCGUCACCAAAUUCAGAGGCAGCUGAAGAUGAUGCUAAUCCAGUGGAAAUCAUUAUCUCAUUCGUGAGCCGUUGCACCCGAGACUUGCAAACUGAGAUGGCCUUCUGACCGUAUGGAAUUGCUUCUUUGGGGUUUGAGCCAAUCUCCAAACACGUACAAAUCCGAAAAUUCCUAAAUUAUAGAGUUAAGCAGAAAAUAUAAAAACUGAAUGACAUUGAAGGUUUGACUUAGGGAGAUCCACAUUUCUUCAACUGACCAAGAUACCGCAUUAUUAUUGAACCGGGGACAACCAAAGAAACAAAGAUAUUUCAACCUUAACAAGGAUACAGUUCAGCUAUUUGCCGGUGAUCUGGUUCAACCAGCUGUUGCAAAAUGGAUAGAGCUUUCUGGUAACUGCCAAGUUAAGAUUCAAUGUCCUCUAAAGAAGCAUAACAGAAAAAAAACAUGGAUGCUUCAAUAAAAACUGGUAAAGAGGGUUCCUCCUCCCCAUCCCAACAAAGCAUACACAAGCUACAACGAGCAGUCAAGUACUGACCUCUUUCCAAGUCAACUUCAGCCAAUGCAGAUAAAAUACUCCACUUUCUCCAUGGUGUCACCCAACUGCUGUUUUUCAGCAAUUGCCCUCGCAAUAUCUAGCAUUUUCAAUGCCAAAUCCAAAUCCAAUUCCGAUUCAUCCACGUCCUCAUUUGCUUCAGCUUCAAUCACAUCAGUGUCGCUAUCGUCACUAUCCUCGUCUUUUUCACCUGAAACACAGAACUAAAUCCAACUGGAUGUGUAAAAGAACAGUUAACAAUUUAGUUUAUGAACUAUAACAUUGAUCGUGGAGCAGCUGUUAUGCACAAUUCACAACAAUGUGAACGAAAAUGAAAGAGAUUCAACUACAACGCUCAAUUCAACUAGAGGUAAAUAAUCCCCUCAGAAGACAUACUGCCAUCCUGUUCCGAAUUGCUUGAUACAGAAGCAACUGAAGAUUCCCGAGUUACAACACCUUUGGUCGGCCCCUCUUUGUUUGAGUCUUGCAGAAUCUCACCAUCCUUUUCCGGAACAGAAACCAGAGGACCAGUCUCCUCUUGAGCCUUGCACAGCAGUGCACGUCCAUACAGAUAGUACACGUUGAGACAUGCGACUGCAAGUUCACCGUGAUGCAAAGCCCUAAUAUGAAAAAACCUUAAAUAGUUAAAUAUAACUUCAGCUACAAAUGGCAAUUCACUAAACCUCUGUUUGAUUGUUUUUUGCACCUAAUUGCACUUUGAAACUAUCUUAAUUACUUCACAGAACAUAAAUUAUAAUAAUGCAAGUUAAUGAAAAAAGUUAAAAUUUUUAUUUUUCUUAAAAAGAAAGGGAAAAAAAAUUAAAAUUUUUAUUUUUCUUAAAAAGAAAGGGAAAAAAAAGGGGGGGGUAAAACCAAACCCUGAAUCAUAGAUUUAGUUUAUUUCCUCAUAAAUUAAAUAAAAAAUGGAAAAGAGAUCAGAUGAAACAGAAGCACAAGGUUUAAACCUGAUUUCAAGGGCACGGCGAAAGAAAUGGGCAGCUUGGGUGAAAUCGUUUUCUUUAAAAGCCUUGGAUCCUUUCUCCGUCAACUCAUCUGCGAACUCCAGCGCCUUCGCUCGGCCAAUAUCCGGAGCAAUCCCACAGCUUUCAGUGUUGUUCUCAUUAUUGCAUGUAGACUCGGUACCUCCACGAACCGCAGAUUCGAUAGUGGCUUCUAUUGAACCUUGCGCUUCUAGGGUUUCCACCUUUUUCGGUUCUGGUGUUUGCUCUGUCGUCGUCACCGGCACCGCCGUAACUUCUUCUUCAGCCAUCACUUUUUUUCUUUAAUAUUUACCGAAAAAUACAAAAGUAUGGAUAAUCGAAAACAGGUCUUAGGCUUUCUCUUGCCCGCCUUCCAGAAAUCCUUUCUGGCGGAAAAUCGAGGUUUGAAAGGAAAGACCGAAACCUUGAACGACAAGCUUUAAAGGAGAGAAAUGAAGGGUACUUUCGUAAUUGAAAGGAAAAAGGUUUCUUUUUUGUCAAAUUAUUAUCAGUGUCAGACGAUUCUGUCAUUUUGAUUUGGAAAGGUUAGGCUCUGAGGAAAUGAAAGCAAAAAAUGGUUUCCACAACGACUCCACUCUCUCUCAGUCCGCUGUAUGUUUUUAUAUAUAAUAUAAUGCCUGCUGGAAUUAUAGAAUCUUGUUGAUGGUAUAUAUUUAAAAAUGAUAAAAGAGAGCUGAUGAGAUUUAACAAUCUUCCAAACAAAACGAUUAUAGUAUUGUAAUCACUUUACUAAUCGAAUUUAAACACUUUCCGGGUUUCAACAUUGAUUAACAUUUUGUGAAAAGAAAAGAAAAUUUUUAUAGGAUGAAUAGUAUUCACAAAGCAGUUGUUGUUCAGGUCUCAUCAUUCUCGCCGAGAUGAAUUACCCAACAAGCUGUUUGUUGAAGGUGAGCUCUGUCCACUUGACCAAUGAUCUUGUACUGAUAUAGGAGACCUAUUUUUUACGUCUUCUAAUAAGGUGGUUAAACAUUCUCCUUCCCUUUGCUUCAACUUCAUCAGCCUCCGGCUUCCCACAUCGGACAUCUCCGUUGACUUGUUGAAUGAUUUCUCACUUUCUUCGUCUGAGGAAGCUGCAGGAGACUCGAUGCACAUGCCUGGAACCCAAGCGCUGAGUCUGAUGUGUUCUAGCUCUUCUGCGACUUCGAUCAUGGUUGGCCUCAUGUCCCGAUGAGAAGCGAGGCAUCUAAAUGCUAGCUCGGCCACAUUAUGAAUUGAUGAAAGUGUCCAAGCAUCUCUAUGUGGAUCAAGGUAUGGAUCAAUUAUCUCAUCCACGCAGCCUCUUCCUAUCCUAUCGAUAGCAAGUGCAGCUAAGUUUACUUCAUUAUGAGCGCGUGAAAAGUCGACCACUUUCAGCGCAGUUAUUAUCUCCACAAGAACCACCCCGAAACUGUAUACAUCACUUUUAUCUGAAAGAUGGAAGUAUUGAUGGUAUUGAGGAUCAAGAUACCCUGGUGUUCCUUGAGGGGCAGUUGAGAUGUGGGAUGAUUCAGCCAUCCCAAGCCUGGAAAGACCAAAAUCAGCUACCUUUGAUCUAUAGUUGUAAUCCAAGAGGAUAUUGCUAGACUUAAUAUCUCGGUGAAAAAUAGGCGGAUUCACGGAGUGAAGAUAGGCAAUUGCCUUAGCAGUUUCAGCAGCUAUUGUGAGCCUUACUGUCCAUGGAAGUCCUGAACCCCUCUCUCUUUGUAGAUGCUGUGAUAAAGUUCCAUUCGGCAUAAACUCAUAGACCAGCAUAGGUUCACCCUCCUCCAUGCAGCAACCUAAGAGGCGGACGAGAUUUGGGUGACUGACCGAGGAAAGGAGCUUAAUCUCAUUCAUUACUUGGUCAAUACUAUCAGGAUCUCUAUAUCUGAACCUUUUUAUGGCAACCAAGUUAUCGCUGUGGAGUUUCCCUGCAUAAACUGUCCCAUAGGCUCCGGUUCCCAGUCUCUGUUUAUCACAGAAGCCAUUAGUAGCUCUUUCAAUUUCUCUAUAGGCAUAGCAAGGAACACUUGAAUUGCCUGCGGCUUCAGAUAGAAGGCGCUUUGCACUCAUCUGUUUGUUGAUGUUAUUAGAACGCCGUCGCAAAUAGAAACAUACAAGAGCCACAAUACCCAUUAGCAAUGCCCCACCAACAAGCCCUAAGAAAUUAAACAAUGUGGUCCAUUAGUCACUUAAAGAAGAGAACACAAAAUCUAUAAGAGGGAUGGAUGAUGAACACAUUAAUACAAUUAUUUUGAAUUACAGCCAAAUUACCUCCAACCAGAACACCGACUCUUGUAGUUCCCCCGCAUUUGCCAGAAAUGUAUUUUGAAGCAUUGCAGCUGGGCACUGAUUAAUGUAGCAUUCAGAAACAUAUUGUCAAAAACUAUAGGCAUGAAACCGAUAAAAUAUGCAAAUGUUGACUUUCCGAUAGACAAGCACCGAUCAGAAUCAAGAAGACAUUUGUGUAUUUGUUGCUAAAAUAUUUUCAUAAAUGUAGUGCAUAGUUGAUAGGAAGAUCCUUCUAACAAGUUGUUUACCAAAGAAGUUAAAUUUCGGCCAUAUUUCCUAAAUUACAAAUCCGUAUACUUUAGGAGGUGUGAAUUACCAUAUCCAAAUCUACUUUUAUGCAUGCCCUUAACUUCCACGAGGGAGCCAAGUCAAAUAUCAGACAAAGAUGUAAAGCAAAACAGUACAUUGUGUCCAAGAAUGGAAAACUCCAUUAGUUUUGCCAAGUCAACAACGCUGUUUUUUGUUGACGUUGACCUCAUUGUUGCCUUUCUUGAAGAGGCUUAGAAUUAUGGAUAAUGAUGAAGGUGAGCGAUCAGUUGACCCUCACAGCCAAUUUUAGCCACCAUUGAGGUUGAAAAUUCAUGACGCGCAUUACCGGUAAAAAAAAGUUUCAUCUUUUGGUGCAAUUCAACCACUAAAUAAGAUGCAACUUUACAUGCAGAAACUCUUGAUGUUGGUUCGUAGUAAUGCCAAAAAUUGAUGAACCAUAGUGCAAAAGCAUCAAAUUGUAUAUGAUUUCACCAAGAGAUCAACUCCUACAAUUCUACGCCAUUUUCUUUUCAAAUGUAGUUAAACUGUUAAAGCUACCAUUUCUAGAGAUACAUUACUAGUCAAGAAUCCCACAAUAAUUUUGCUCUAAAAUCCAAGUCAAAAAAAAAAAAAAAAAAACAACCCGACAAAAUAAAAUAAUUAGUAAAACAAAAUCUUUGACUUGGAAGAGUUGACUAACCUCUCCGGCAACCACCGCCUUCUUUGAAUCCAUCUCCUUCAAACCCUUCCUUGCAAAAACACUUACACCCCACCGUCUUGUUACCAUUCUUGACGUCCGUACGGUUAGCGUUUGGGUCGCAAUUACAGUCUUUAACCCACCAUUCCAAUUUAACUCGUUCCAAAUCCACAGAGACCGCUGAGUUCCUCGCCGGGUCAACUACAAUAGCGGUAGAGGAAAACAAGAAACGGCACUGCGUUUUAUUAACUUCCUCGAAACUCAACAGCCGGACGCCGUCACCGGCGCUAGAGAAACAGCUUAUGUUGUCACUCCUAGCAGCACAAGGGCCAGCUUGAAACGACCUUUCUAGAAACAUUGGCCUUAUUUCACAAGGACCUGGUAAGGGGUUGGAACAGUUUUGGAGAAGGAGAGUGUUGUCCACCGAAAGCGCGUAGUUCUCACCGAAGAGAACGGCGAGUGAAGCAAGCGGUCGGUAGCAUUUGGCGUGAAGGUCGAUGAUGAUGUCCUUGGAAGUUAUGUUGAGGACAAGGAAUUCUCCAAUUCCGACCCCGGUCGAGUUGCAGUUGAGUUGGAUGGGGCAACCCGGUGUGAAUCCGAAUGGAAAGGGUAAGGGGCUUGAGAAAUUGCUGGUUUCGCAGGAGCCUUGGCACUUGUUGUUCUCCGAGUUAACUGAGUUUGCUCGGUAGAUAACAAAAAGAAAUGUUAUGGUUAUUGAGAAGGGUAAUUUUGCAUAGCACGGCAUAUUUUUCGAUUCUCAAAGAAGAAAACAGAGCGACAUCAGCUUCCUACAAAAAAAAAACAGAGCUUGAAUAAGAGGAACAGAGUAAAAGGUAAAACAUGUAGUUAUUGAAAAAAAAAAAAGAGGAGUUAUUGGGGGGGGGGAGAGGGAGUUAAAGCAGAUCGAUUGAUGGCGUUGGGAAGUCCAUCUAAACUCAAUAAAUGCUAAUACAAAGAAAGGUCAAUGCAUUGUAAAUUCGGGAAAUUUCUUUCAAAAAGGAAAUUUUUAAUGAAUUGGCUUGGUUUAGUUGAGAAUAUUUAUGAGCUUACCUUGUUCUUGUUUCUUCUUCAAUGGCUGCAACAAUUGCCUCUUCUUUAUUUCAAUAACAGAGCUUCAAAUAAAUAAAUAUCUGAGCUUUGUUAACGCUUCUUUAGAAGUACUUUGAUUUUGGGUUUUUGGUUUUCAUUUCAAAUCAAACAAAAAAAAAGAAGAGAAUUUUGGAGAAGAAGAGGAAAUGGGAAAUGAGAGUUGAAAGUUUUUAAAUAUAACACAAGAAGAGUUGUUAAAAACUCCAUUGACAAGUGUUUAGUGAAUUAAUUAUUAUGAAAUAACUGUUUUACCCUUUUAAGUUUGGGAAGAUGAGGGAAAUGAUUAGACGGAAAUGUCCUUCAAAAAGUAGGUUAAAUUACGGAGAUAGACCAAACCAGAUAUUAUAUUGUGGGUCAGCACCGCACACAAUAAAAAAAUGGGUUUCGAGUUUUGACUAAAAACAUAAAUAUAUAUUUUUUAACAAAUGUGUGAAGGAAUCCACAUCAUUACUCAGCAUAAAAACAAUAAUAUUUUAGCAAAUUUUAAAUUUUAUUUCUUAUUUAAUUAAUUUUUAAUUUUAAUUCAUCGAAUAUGUUUUAUUUAUGAUUUAUAUUAUAAACAUUGAAGUAGAAUCUUGAAUUUUAAUCCUAUAAAUAAAAAAAUAACUCUUAAAACAAUUUUUUUCAAUUAAAAUCCAAUGAAAUUAGUCAACGAGUGCUUAAUAUCAUUGACAAAUGGUGAGACUCUAGGUUUUAAGUAUCUAGAUUCGAAUUUUAUUAUGCACAAUUAUCAUGUGUAAGUAUCUCAAUCUUAACCUGUGUGGCUUUUAUAAGUGAAUUUUGUUCAAUUAUAUUUUGAUUCUUUAUGCGUUUGUAAUUGUAUUGGUUUGAUUACACACUUCAACUUAGGUUAGUUUUUUUCUCUCUUUUUUUUAAAUCCUUUUUUAAGUAUUUGGGUGGGUUGCCUUUUUUUUAUGGUUUGAAACUAUUAAUUCGAGCUAAAGAACAAUUCAACCAAUUCACAAUUUGCUCGUCAACCCUAAUUCUGAGUUGUUCACUCUAAAAUCGAUCUAACCCUUUUAACUAAAUUAAUAUAUUAGUCAGUUCUUGAUCUAAUUUAGUUUUGGCAAUGUUACUUUAAGUGCCAACAAAAGGUUUAAUCACUGUUCCUUUAUACAGUUGACUCUCCUUCCUUUACUGUAAUAAAGAUAUACUAGAUUAUCACGCACCUACAUUAUAGGUGAAAAAUUAUGUAAUAAAUAUAUUUACUAAAAGUACAUAUAAAAAUAAAAUGAAUCUUAAAUGGAAAAAUUAAAUAUUUAAAAUUCGUUGCUUCAGAAGUUCAAAUUUUACUACGAUUAAAUAUUUAUUGAUUUUAUAUAAAAAUAUAAAAUGAAAAAAAAAACAUCUUAUAAAAAUUAAGAUUAAUUUAACAAUCUUGUAACAAAAAAUUAUUAUAAUAAUUUCUCAAUUGAACUGCUAUUCAAUAGACUCAUGACAUUAACUCAUUUAAUAUAAGUAUAGAUAUAAAAUAUUGUUAUAAUAAUUAUAUGGCUUUUUUUUUUCAAUUUAGUGAUAUUAUUUAAUUUGUUAUAAAAAUAAGUUAUACUGUUUAAUAUAUUAAAAGUGGAUUAGACUUUGAUUUAGCGGUAAAAAUUAAGAGAUUUUAAUUUCAUUUCAUUUGGUAUUUAUAUUGAAGUUGUCUAAUUAUAUUUUAUUAUUUUAUAGGGUUUCAUUAAUUUAAUAGUGCUAGGUGAAUGUGAUAACUGAUUAUAAUUAUAAUUUUAAAAUAUCAAUAAUAAAUUAAAUCAAAUUAAUUUGAAAGGUUAAAAUUUUUAUUACAGAAAAACUAAUCCAAAUUGAGGACUUGUCUUUUUCUUUUUUCUAUUAGGAGGAUUUGUUUAAUUUAGAAGAACUCAGAGUGGCAUCCUAUUAGAGGACUUUUCUUUUUAUAUUUAUUUAUAUAUACUAGGAUAAGUAAAACCCAUAUUGAAAUUCUGGUUGCAUAUUCUAAUUUAAUAUAAAAACCAUGUGGAAAUUUUGUGUUAAUUUCUACCCCCUUAUAUUUCUGAAUUUAUAGAAACAAGAACUAAAGUUUACCAUCACAAGAUUAUUACCUUAGCUGUGAUUUUUUUUUUUUUGUUAAAUUACUUUCUUAUUGUAAAAUAUAGGAAAGAAAUAGUAUAUAAUUUUAUGUUUCUACUCAUCCAUUUUUUUUAAAGUAAUAUUUAAGUAAAUUCUUGUCAACAAUGAUAAUUUUAAUAUUUAAAUUUAAUUAAAAUAUCCGGAAAAAAAAAUUCACUUUCACUUUUUCUAAUUAUUUGUUGGUAAAUAGAUACAUGUUUAAUAACAAAUAUAAACUUUUAAGAAGCUUUUAUAUUUCAUCUACUUUAAAUCUUAUGAAUGAAAAUGAUAAUAGUUUCAUUUAAAUUAAUUUCGAAUUUAAUUAAGAUUAUGAAAAUAGAGGAAAAGGAGAAAUGAUAAAGAAAGAGGCGCCACACCCUCUCCUCAAUUUCUUUGAAAGCAAUGCUAUUGGUAAGAAAAGCAGCAACUUUUGACCAGUGAAGGUUGUAUUAUUUUCAUAUUUCAGGGCCUUGAUUUGUGCAGCAUAUACGAAAAAGUUUCAUCAAGGGUGUCAUGCAUGGCGUAUAAUUAAUUAAUUUUUUAAUGCUUUUCAGAUAAAAUUGAACGACUUUCCCGUUAGGUUAUCUACUUUCUGUAAAAUUUCACCAUAUUCCUGGCAAAUUACAAUAGAACUUUGAGAAAAGUAGUGCCAUUUUACUUCCACACAUUAACUUUUAGGUACAAAAAGCUGAAAUGGUGCAAAGAAAAUUACAGUUAAACAAUGGCAUCACAUGCAAGUAUAGAAGAUUAUUAAGAAAGCAGCAUGUGUUUAUUUGUAGAUUUCCACCACUUCCACUCUAUCUUAUUCUACUUAAAAAUCAUCACUCGAGCAAAGUUCCAUACCACUUCACUCAACCCAUUGAGAAUUAUCGAUGAGAAAAUAUUUGAAUGAGCUCUUUAAAAUAUAUCACUAAAAAUAAAUAAAUGGUUUCCAAAUUUUUUGUACUCACGAGAGCUGAUCAUCUUUUGGAGGAUUACGACUAUGUUAUAGAUUUGUGAAAUGUUUUUUUUAUUCCCAAAUUUGAAAAGGCAGGCAAAAAGAAGCACUUCAGUUUGAGUUCUAAUAUAUAUAUAGUGUUUGGUUGAGGGUACAUAGAUUUGGAAAUGAAAGUCAAAGGGGGAUGGCACAUGGCCAGUUGUAAACAAAAUGCUUUGCAAUUAUAGACCAAGGCUUUUGCUUUUCCCAUAUCAAGGCUUCUACUUAUUAUAAACCCUUUUCUCAACUCCAAUUUAAUUCACCCAUGUAUCCUUCAAUGUUUAAUAUAUAAUAUUUAGGGUAAAUUAUAUUAGUAGUCAUUUAGUUAUUUAAUUAUGAAAAAUUAUAAAAUUUUCACUCAAUUGUUCAAUUUUUAUUUUUUUUGGUCAUCCAACUAGCUUAUAUUUUUUGAUGUUUCUAUUUUUACGUUAACUCGCCAAUGACAAAAAAGGACCAAAUUGAAUAUUAAAUGACCAUCUUAUAAUUUUUUAUAGUUGUUGAUAAAAAAAAUUAAUAAUUGAGUGACUAUUAAUAUAAUUUACCCUUAUAUUUAUUAGGAUAAAAAUCACUCACCCCUCAAGUUUACUAUAAAAUAUAUAGUUUCACUUAUAGUUUGAAGAAUACUCUAAGAAAAUUUAAAAUAAAAAGACAAUUAACUCUAUUUAAUUUAUUCGUUUACAUAUUCUUUUAAUUACAAAAUAAUGAAAAUUUAAUUCUAUUUUUAAACUACCAUAAAAUUAAAUAUAUUUCACUUAUUUAUUAAAAAAAUCUAUUUCACUUCAAUUAAAAUAAUGUAUUUUAAAUUUAUAUUUAAUUUAGUUCAUGUUAAUCUUUAGAUGAAUUUAUUAAAUUAUUUUUAUAAAAAUUAAUUAAUUAUCAUUAUUUAAAAAGUUUGAAUAAAAAAUUUACUAAAUAAUAAACGAAAAAAUAAAGAAAAAUGAUUAACCACAAAGAAACAAUUUUGAGGAUAGAACAAAUAAAUAGAAGGCUUAGUUGAAAAGAGAUUCUUAAUCCGUGCUUUUAUUAGAGUUAGGUUUUUUUUUUUUUUUCGAAUCAGAUACCUAAGCUUUAUUUCUGUAACAAAUGUUGAUCCUUACCGCUGUCAAAAAGAAAAUCUCAAUAAAAUCUAAUUAAAUAAAAAAAAAUUAAAAAAAAAAAUCCUCCCCACCAAAGCUCGGUAGGGAAUCGCAUUCCAGUUCACAGCCAAAGCAACCCAUCAAUAUCUGUUAGCAUUCAUGAGUGAAACAAUGUGGGGAUCCUGAAAUCCCGUUGUAACAUUACACCCUUAAGCUGCACCACAAAAACAAUCUGAAUCAACUUCAAAUGCAGCACUAUUCCCACCACCUCCUUACCUUACCACACCAAGGAUUACAGCUCUUCUUUUCAAACGUAUUUGUGAUUUGUGAAUAUCAUUGAAAGCUCCUCAUUCAGUAUGAGAUGGCCUCUUUGGAAUCAAAUUCAGCCAUAGCAUCAAGUUAGAUUAAGUUUCAAUUUGCAUAGUUUUAUAUCGCCAUUUAAUGGAGCAUUAAAAUACUCAAAUGUCUCUACUGUGCAUUGGCUCAAACUUAGGGGAGAGAUAGUGGUGAGAGAGAGGGAGAAAAAUGAUGUGACACCUCACACCCGACUCAAUCACUGAGGUCAAAUAUAAGAUACCAUAUUCGUAGUUAAAAUAACUCAAACUAACUCGUACAUUGAAUUCAUCGUGAUAAUCAAACAUUAAUCCCUAAAUAACCCAACUGAACACAUCAAUUUAACUUACUUAGCAUGCAACCUACACCUGUUUCAUUGAGUAAACACCAUGUAAUGAUCAUGCAUACCAACAUAACGUCAUAUUCAUACCACUUCACAUAUAGCUUACAAUUCACUAGCAUUCUAAAUUUAAAUCAUAGAAAGGGGUUCUAAAGCUAGCUUUGACACUAAGUACAUUAUAUUCUAAAGAUUAUACAAACGUUGCUUAGUUGAGAAGUGAGCCAUGGAUACUGUCGAACUUUUUGUAUCCAUGAGACCUAAUCGUCACUGAAUUAUUUGUUUGUCUUCUGUUUUUAUCCUUACGUUGUUCCUCAUUUUCAACCUUGCUCAAUGACACGGAAGUGUAGAAAUGAUAUUAAUUUUUAACCAUUAAAUAUAUAAUUCAAACAUUUCACUUUAGUUUCCUUAAAUCUUAUUAUUUGAAAUUCUCUUAUUUUACUAUUUACCCAAUCAAAUCUAAAUCCGAUUUAUAACUAUUCUCCAAGGACCUCAAACUAUCAUUAUUUACUAAUAAAUCUCAUAGUCCUCAUUUUUUACAAAUAAAUCCUUAGUGAUUUAACAAACAUCACCUUCAUUUCUAAGAUGUAUAACAUAAAAUUUAAAUUCAACAACUCAGAUUUCAGGGCUUUCUAACUUAAUAUUCUACAUUAAAACUUCAUCAAUUUAUUAAUCUAACAAGUGAGUUUUCAUAUCUAUCAUUGCUUAUAAGAAUCACAAAGAAAACCUUACCAAUAUUUCUUACGGCAAUGAAGGAAAACCAAAGCCAAAACUCCUUUCUUCUUUCUUGGUUCGGUGGGAGAGGAGAUGAGAAUGAAUAAGGUUUGCGUCUCUUGCUCAUUUACUAUACCUUAUUUCCAUUUAAUAACAUUAAUCAAUGGCUCAAAUUUCUCAUGAAAGAUCUAGUGGAUGUUUAUGGCAUUGAUCAAUGCUUACUACUAACUUUUAAGUCAAUUAUGGGUCAAUUAAGUUUAAGUCCAUGUUUAAUUGUUUAGUAUAGUAAGGACCUGCUCAAAUCUUAAAUCAAAUCUCCUUAUUUAGUCACCUUAUAAUUUAAUCUUUGUACUAUUUAUGUAAUAAUUUAAUCAAUUUAAUGGUUCAACUGUUCUACCCUCUAACUUCGUGCUUGUCUCUAUAAUUUUUUGUUUUAAAAUUUUUGGAUGGCUCAGAAAUUGACUUUUUUGGCACCAAUAGAAGCCAAAUUGUUACAAGCGAGGAGGAGAGGGAGGUGUUUUUUAUUUUAUUUUAUUUUAUAUUAAUAUAAUUAUUUUUAUUUAACAUUAAUAUAAAAAUUUUAUUUAAUUAUUUAAUGAGGUGAUGGCGUGGCCCUUCUUAAUUAGCUUUGACUAUUCUUUUAACGGAAUAUAGCGAUAAAGAUCAACUUCAAUUACGAAAAAAAAUUUAAAAUCAAACUCAAACUCAAACAAAUGACAUAAUUUUGAAUUAAGCCUAAAUUGAAUAAUAAUUAAGUGAUAAAGGGUAAAUUUAUCCUUUUAUUUAAAAAUCAUUUAAUAAUUAAAACUUGAAGAUAGUAUUUUUUUUUAUUUUUUUUUGUCAAGCUUCAACAGGUAAGUGGGUAUCUUUCAAACCAUAAAGAUAAUCGGUUCUUUUUUUGUUAAGGGGGUAGGCGAAUUUUAUAUCGGUUUAAAUAUUUUACCUUCUAAAAAAUUUAAUUAUAAAAUAUAAAAAAUUCCAUAAUUAAAAGAUAAACAGUUAUAAAACAAUAAUAUAUGAUAAAUAAUAUAAUAAGAAGGUUAAAAUAUGCUCCAAUUUCUUGUAUUUUUUUAUACACCUGGAGUUUAAUUCCUCUAAUUUAUUUUAAAAAAAAUUAUAAAUUUGAAAAUACAAGUUCAAUUGUUAACACAUUAAAAUUCUUUUGUUUAAUUCAAGUUCAGUAGAAAAUUAUAUUUUUUGUUACAUAAUUACCAAAUGAGUCAUUUCUUUUAAUUUUAAGAUAUCACACCAAGAAAAAAAUUAUUUUAGCCAUUUAUUUAUUUUUCUCCUUUUUAACCCCUAAACUUGUAUUUUUUAAUCAAUUCAUCCCAAAAUGAAAUGAAAAGGUUAAUAUUUUUUAACUUUGCGAACGAUACAUACGCCAACAUUUAAUUAAUUUUUUUAAAAUUUAAAAAUUAUAAAAGUUAUUUUUAAAAUUUAAAAAUUAUUAAAAAUUUAUAAAUUUUUUAAUUUUAAAAAAUAAUUAAAUGUUGACAUGUCAUCUACAUGGUAAUCAAUGUGUAUGCCAUGUCAACAAAGUUGAUAAACGUCAAUUUUUUCCAUCCAUUUUGAGUGAUUUAACAAAAAUGCAAAUUCAAAAGUCGAAAGAGAUGCAAAAAUAAAUUAAAAGCUAAAAUGAUCUUUUGUAAAGUUGAAAGGCCACAGAAGUAAUUAUGCCUUCUUUGUUUAUUUAUAAAAUAAGAAAAAAAAUAAAACACCCUCAUAAUAAUAGACUUGUUCAUGGGUCGGGCACCUGACUUAACCCGAAGGCCCGUCCAAAAAGUGGAAGGAUUUGGGUAAAAAGAUACGCCCGAAAAAUUAGUUGGGUAAAAAAAUAAAGCCCGUUUAAAAAAACGAUCUAAGCCUUGAGUAAGGCAUUUUUUACCUAAGCCCGACCCAACCCGAAUUCACGAAAGGACAAAAAAAUCUACUUUAUUUCUAUUUUAAUGCUAUUUUCUUGUUACUCUCUCCCUAUUUUGUUAUUAUUUUAUUGUUACUGUUUGAAUAUUGUAUAACACUUGUUUUAUUAUUAAUUUUGUUAUUAUUUUAAAAGCAUUUGCUUAUUAAGUUCAUCUAUUGUAGUAAUUUAUUUUCAAUUUGUUGAGAAAUAUUUAUUUUAAUGUUUUUAAUAUUUUUGAUGUAUUAUAUAUAUUUAUAAAUUAUAUAAAAAGGUUUAAUAUGAGCAAGUUAGGCCGAGCUUAGAUUUUAACAUUUUUAUUUAGGCUAAACUUUGACAAAUUUUAAGCCUAUUUUUUUGGACUAGGCCUAAUAUCUUGGUUGGGCCAACCCAUUAACACCUCUACAUAGUAAUAUAAUUUAUUUAAAACAUUUUAAUAAUUUCAUUGACUAAGUUGAUAUCGAAUUAACUUAUGACACCAAGUUAAUGAUACAACUUAAAAAAUAGUAUAGAUAUACUAAUUUAUAAUUAGUUUUCUAUUAAAUGAAAUUAUUAAUAAAAAAAGUUGCGUCAGAUAACAAAAAAUUGAGAGCAGGAGCAAUUCGAAGCUGGGUAAAACGGAUCUUUUAACAACUAGAGAAAUGAUAACAUUAUUGAAUUAAUCAAUAACACAGACAAAAACUUCGUAAGGUAAGUAAUGAAUAAAUAAAUUAAUUAAUAUACAUUUGCACUAGAACAUAGUGUGUUGCGCUGUGGAACAUUAGUGGAGUUAUAUUUUCAUAGGUUGACUGAUGUCAUGAUCUUCCUAGGGCAACAUUACAAUAUAGGAAUAUAAUAAAUGGUUUUAAAAAUACUACAGCUAUUUACAAUCAGCCUAGCUAAGGGGUUGGUUCAUCUAUCAUUAACUUUGGUCAAGAAAACUCAACAGAAAGCCACUCACAAUUCGGCGAGCUACAGGGUUAGGGAUACUUCGACACAAUCUUCCAUCAAUAUAUGCCAGUAUUCCUGAAAGCACAAAUUUGGCUAUUCCCCAUUUCCAUAUGAACCUUACCUUCUGCACUUCUCCCGUGUCUGCAGGGACAAUCUCUUUCGCUUCAUCUUUCUCUGCUUCUUUCUUCGAUUUGAUGAUUGCGAUAUAUUUAUCUGCUUGACUUCUUAAUUUACGGAUUGCAAAACUUACAAACAGGUGCUCACACAAUGUUAUGAUGGUUGGUCCUAUUCUCCAUUCCUGGAGUAACAAAUUAUCCUCCAUUAAUAGAAUGUGAGACUCUAACUAGUGUGGCAAUAAACAUCAGUGUUCAGCACAGUCCAUUUACAAUUACAGAAUGCACACAUGCAUGUUCCCCUUUCUCGGUAUCCUUUUUUCCCUCUCAGAGAUCUCUAUACUGUAUUUCCAGUUUCCAAAGAGAUGCAGAAAUCAAAAAGGCCCACUUAAAAAAACAAAGCAGAGAGAGACAGAGACCAAUAUAAAUGGGAAAACACAAACACAUAUGUUAUCAUUAUACAAAUCAAUCUUGCACUUACUGGAUACUAGAAAACGUAGUGGAAAGGAUCAGAAAUGGCAACUUGGAUUGUUCAAGAACCCUCCAAAGCACAAAAAUUUAAUAAAGUGGCAGAUUAAAUUGAUGGAUAAACUUACACUUUCUCCUUGAACAUUGCGAAAAGGGUGGGAAGCUGUUGAAGGAUCUCCUUUCAAUAAUGCUUUGCUUAUAAGAAACCCCUUCACACUAUCCAUGAUCUCAUUUAUGAGGGAACUGUUAGGAGGUAGAUUCUUGAGGAAAACCUAAAUAUAGAAUAAAUCAAAUAAGAGCAUGUUUGAAACUCAUCCGUCAAGUAGGUAAGGCAAAGCAAGAUUCUGAAAAUGAAGGUGGAUUGGGAAGCCAAAAUUUGUCCUCAAAAGCAAGGUACUUGGAUGAACACUUUGUUAGAAGUGAUAAUAUAAUUAUGAAAGACCCACAUAAAUUAGAUGUCCCCUUUCGCUGCUAUCUAAAUCUCAAAUAAAUAAAUAAAUUUUGUUGCAGUACUGAUAUUUCUAUUUUCUCACUUUAAUCAGUUACCUGGUCAUCAAUUACUCUCACUCGAAGAUAUUCUUGCCUGUACAUUGAGUCUAACAUAGCUUGUAGGUAUCCUUCAAUGUACAACUGCAGAAGUUGAAACCUCAUCAGUGACCAUUAAAGCAAAAGUAAAACAAAUACAUUAAUAACUCCAGAAAAAAUCAGCAUCCAUUGAGCAGUGAGGCAAAGCAAUAACAAUCUGAAUUCCUACAGAAGUAAUCACAUAAAGAUGCUGCUAAAUAUCACAUGUAAUAAAACACUAGUUUUCAAGUGUGUUUUUCAGGUGUAUCUGACACAACUAGGUAUCUAUAUCCUCAGCAUUAUUGGUCAAUACUGCUUUCAUUACUGUAAAAGGAGACUUGAACAGAACAAUAUGAUAAGAGUACAAAAAACUGAGAUUGUUACCUCAUCAACCCCAGGACUCCUAUCAAGCUUGAUUUUUCUGUCUGGCCCACUCCCCAUCAAGGCUGUACCCAGGACCGAAGGCUCCAUAGCCAAUUUUAAUAUUCCUUGGUGAAAUCCACUCACCUUUAGAAUAAACAGUCGACUGUCACUUUCAACAGUUAUCCAUGGUAAUACUUAGAAAAUAAGCUAGAAAACUUAUGCAAAUUUAUGCAAAAUGACACAUUGACUGGUACCAUCCCAUUGAAACCACUUGCUUCUGCCCCCUUCAAAACAGAGUCAGAUAUUUCGGUAACAGCAGCAAAAAUUACAUUAGAGCCUGCUGUUUUUAGCUGCAGAGUUGGCACAGAAAUAACAUAGGUAAGUGCAAAGAAAGUAGAAAGAAAAUCACAUUCCUUAUUGAAGGUUCAUAGAACUUACUGUUUUACCCAGAUCACCAAAGUAGCGUUUUGUUCCCGAGAAACCUUUACCAUCAAUACAUCUACUGAUGAAUUUGAAGGUACCUGUGCAAAAUGAACAAAGCAGAAAUAAAAUAUCUCAACUUACAAACAGCCAUAAUCAAUUAUGAUAAAAUAAAUAUAUCUGAAACUAGAACCUGAACUUAAUCACAGAAUAUGCAGUCCACACAUAAUCAGUGCCUUGAAAAGUAAAGUCCCAGAACUAAACAAUGAAUCUUUUAUAUUUCUCAUAACUCUUAUAAUGCAAAAUAAAAAAAUAAAAAAAAGGGAACUCCCAACUCCAGUUUCAUUAAUGUAGCAUAUGCACCUAAAAUCUAGUGAUGAUGACGCUCUCAUAUAUGCCCAAACAAAUCAUGCAUGCAGAAUAGGUAAAACAAAUAUCAUAGAUGCCAAUAUUAAUUCCAAGGUAAACCCAUACAGGAAAGGAAGACUUGAGUGAAAAAACCAUAUAGAAACCAUACCCCAUUUGAAACCAGGAAGAUUCAUCAAGCCUUGAGAAGGAUCAAAAAAGAUAUCGAGGGAAGACGAAGCUAAGUCAUCAAAUAUCGAUGCAAAAGCUGGGGGCAGUAGUUGGCUACCUUUAGCAAUAGAAAUGGACCUCAUGGCAUACCUGGUUAAUUAUAUCAUUCUGAAAGUGAGGAUACCAUAGUUGCAAAACAAGCAAAACAUAAAUGAAGACCUUACCAUGAAUAAUGUUGUGCACAUCUUAUUAACAAUUCACGAAUUGUUACUAGAGCAUGAGUAACUGAGACACCAUUUAGCUCCACCGCCACCUUUUUUAUAGGAGGAACCUAUAGAAGCAAAAGAAAAGUUUAUAAGAAAAAGGAAAAUGACCCUACUCAAGAUGACACCAAAGAACGCAUGUUUCACUAUAUAAGAACAACUAAAAUCAAGCAAGCAUAUAUUAAGAGAGAGCACAGAACACAACUCUCACCUUUACCACACUAUGUAGCAAUGUUCUCAGAGCUUCCUGGGCUGAAUUAUAACUAGAAUAGGAUUCCCCAGGAACAAAAGUUGCAAAAAUCUGUAGGUAGANNNNNNNNNNNNNNNNNNNNNNNNNNNNNNNNNNNNNNNNNNNNNNNNNNNNNNNNNNNNNNNNNNNNNNNNNNNNNNNNNNNNNNNNNNNNNNNNNNNNNNNNNNNNNNNNNNNNNNNNNNNNNNNNNNNNNNNNNNNNNNNNNNNNNNNNNNNNNNNNNNNNNNNNNNNNNNNNNNNNNNNNNNNNNNNNNNNNNNNNNNNNNNNNNNNNNNNNNNNNNNNNNNNNNNNNNNNNNNNNNNNNNNNNNNNNNNNNNNNNNNNNNNNNNNNNNNNNNNNNNNNNNNNNNNNNNNNNNNNNNNNNNNNNNNNNNNNNNNNNNNNNNNNNNNNNNNNNNNNNNNNNNNNNNNNNNNNNNNNNNNNNNNNNNNNNNNNNNNNNNNNNNNNNNNNNNNNNNNNNNNNNNNNNNNNNNNNNNNNNNNNNNNNNNNNNNNNNNNNNNNNNNNNNNNNNNNNNNNNNNNNNNNNNNNNNNNNNNNNNNNNNNNNNNNNNNNNNNNNNCAAUUCAUCUUGCUUUGCAUAUCUCCUCCAAAAGAGAAGGUGCUCUAAUGGCUGUAUUUUUUGCAUAACUUUCUGAACAAAGGUUUUGAAAUGAGCACUAACAGAGGGUUCUGAGUAAUUUUCAGGCUGUUCACCACUUGACAAAGCCUUAUAUCGAGCUAUUUUCCGAGCCUGUGCAAUAGCUUCUGCAGGUAGCUCUUUCUCAAUGUCAAAAAUCACCUCCCAAUAGUGCUUAGCAGAUUUCAAAAUUACCUUGUCUCUUAGCAUCUUAAUAUCAGGUCUUUCCAAUAAGUGAUUAGGGGAAUAUUGAAUCAGCGACAAUAAAUACUCAUAGUGAUUCACAUAAUGCAUCCACAAACUAGUAAGGCUAACUAGCUUGUACCAUGAUAAUUUGGGAGAUGAAAUUACAUGGCCUAUUUUAAUUGCUGCUAUUCUCCAUAGAUACCGGCCACUCCUUACUCGCUUGAAUUCUUUUGAAGGCACUUUACUAACUUCCAUGAAAACAGGAAAAUCAACCGGAGAAAAUGAGAAACUUAAUUCUGAAGCACGAAGAUUGAACUCAACAAGUUCAAGAUCAUUUAACUUGAUGCAAGUAACCAGUGCAGUGGAGGAACAAACAUGGUUAAUUUGAUUGCUUUUCUUAUAUCCUAUCUUAAAGGAACUACCACUUACAACCAAAGAUCCCUCCUUCAGAGGUAGAAAGAGAACAUUAACAAGACCCUUGCAAAGGCAUCCAUGAACAAAAUGUAGAGAUUCUGCAUUAAGCUUCUCUAAAUCCAACAGGUAUACAAAGGAAUCGUCUAAAGUGGGAAAUUGUACUUGCAAAUUAAUACCAAGUAUCUGUAGACGGCAAUGUUGGAGAAUGAGAUUCAAAAAAGAAGACUGAAACCGAUUUCUCCCACAAGUAGUAGCCAAGAUUGCUUCCAAAAUAUCAUGCAGAGCACUACCCUGGUAAGGAAGAAAGCCUAAGUUACUUUGGCCAAGAUUAACACAUCAAGUAGUAAGAAAAGAAUCCUUAACUACAACGAGAUAACUGAUUUAAUAAUUUACCAUCCAACUCAAACACUAUGAAGCAAAAAGAUGUUAAACUAUUAGUUUAAAAGUAAUUAUGCAAUGAGCAACAAGUUUAACAGUGUAAAAUUGAAAUAAGGGUUUUUGCUAACAAGUGCCCUUAGGGCACUCAUUAAGGUUAGUUAAUAUACUAUCUAUAGUAAUUAUAUUAUAUUAAAUGCAGUAGUUGACAUCUUUAUUCUUGUUAAUGCAUGGCUGAAAAUGUUAGGAUAUAUAGUAACCUUGAAGAGUAACCUCAGAACAUCAGUCAGCAAAAUCCUGGAAGUAAAGGCAUCUCUAUCACGAUUCAAGGAGUUAAUUUUAACAUAAACUCAGUACUAAAAAAAGAAUGAAUAAUGCUACUUACUCCGCCACUCUUGUCCCAACUAUAACAGUUAACAACCCCGGAUGGAACAUACAGUUAGGCAUUACCAAUUCCGUUGAUGAGUUUAGUCAUUCAUAGCAAAAACAGCAGAGCUUUACUGCUUCUUAUUGUCACUAAGGUGCAACAUAGAAAGAUGGUUUCGUACUAGACAAUAAAAAUUUAAACAAAAUAAUGCCAAAAAUGGGGGGAGGGGAACCUCGGGAUCUAUCAGGGAUAAAUCCUUCUUCAAACUCUCUAACGCUGCAUUACUCGAAUUUCGCACUUUUGCAGUACCUUCCUCUUCCAUUUCCCUUUAAAAAAACACGACACAAUUAUUUUUUUUUUCAUAUUAACGAACAAAAGGUGCAAAGUUGUGACGUUGCUUACUCAAGCGACAUAGUAACCUUGACUCCACGAGCUUCGAAAACGAAGGCAGAAUCUGACCAAUUUGAGAAUCGAACAACGAACUCCUCGAUAACGAAUUCUUUGAAAAAGAACCGCGAAGAUGAUGAACCGUCUAUAAUCAGGCGGUUGAGAGUAGACGUAUCAAGGCGUAUGUUUUUGGCGACGGCGGUGGAAUUUAUGAACCCUAACUGGAGGUCUAGCUCGAGAUCUUGUUCCAGCCAUGGACGAAGCAAAGAUGAUAGUAUCCGUUUAAUGAAGUUAUUGAAGAACAUUUCCUUGAGGAUUUCGGUUACUUGAAGCGGGUUAAGUUGAUCAAUGUUUCUUCUAUUGGACAAAUAAGAGGAUUUUCGCGAGAAACGAACGGAAAAUUCAUUUUAUGAUGAGAGGAGAGAGCAAGAAAGUUCGAUUAUAUCACCAGAUUGAACAAACAUGCGCACUCAGCAUUUGUCUCCAUCUGCAAAUUAAAUUUUAGGCGUUAUCCUUUUCUUGUGUUUUGACGUUUUCCAACGAGAAAGUGAGCAAAUCCCACGGAUUUAUGGUAUUUAAUAUCAAAUAUAUAUUCAAUAAAGUUAUAUUUUAAAAGAUUUAAUAUAAUUUUGAAAUUAAAAUAAUAAUUGAUAACUAAGAUUCAUUAAAAAAUUUAAGAGUAUCUGAAAGUCUUUUUAGUUGAAUUUAAUUUAGUAAGAAAUAUGUUUGUUUUUUAUUAGAAUUACUAUUUGUUAUGUUGAUAGUGUAUUUUUUAUUCUAAAAGUAACUUUAAUAAAUUGUUAUAUAUAUAUAUAUAUAUCUUUUCUUUAAAUUUUUUUUAAUAGUUUACUAUAACUUUAUAACACACUUAUUAACCUUAUGUUUUUAUUUAUAGAGUUUAAAAAUUGCAUUUACAGUACACAAAUAUUUUUCCUUUUUAUUAUGUUUUAAAACCUUUGUUUCCUAAAAAACUUGUAAUUUUUACAUAGUUUUAAAUGAAAUAUUUAUUUCGAUUUAUCAAUUUAUGGUAGUAUUAUACAUAAUUAAUUUAUAUUAUAUAUAAUAUUAUACCUCUAGCAAUUAAUUAAAGAAUAUUUAUAAACAGUAUUAUGAUAUAAUAUUAUGUAUAUAAUCCAUUAAUAAAGUAUUUAUAAUGUUGUAUACAUGGAAAAUAAUUAUGUAAUAAGUUUAUUAAAACUUGAUAUGAAAAUUAUAUAUGACUCUCUUGAAAUAGUGAAGAUGCAGAAUGAAUGUAAUGAAAUUUUGGAUUCAAAUCCCAUCAUAUAUAUUUUAGAUUUUAUAUGGGGAGGAUGAAAUAAUCCUUAAAAUAUUAUUUAUUGUUUUGUUAAAAUGAUAGUCUUUUAGAAUACAAUGGAGAGUAACAGAAACCGUGAGGGUGGCCUAGCUCAAAGUAAUGGAGGCGAUAGGGUUACAAAAACAGUUAAGCUCCAAAAGGAUGGGCAUUUAAUGAUGGUGGCAUAGACAUUGAGACAUCAAAAGCAAUCCCAAUAUCUUUUAAGGACAAACUUUUAAACUGGAUAAGAAAUCGAAAGGAGGAAAAGAUUCACUCUUCGAGUAUGAUAUUGUGUUGAAGGAAAGUGACAUGGUUAAAGAGAACAUUGGGGGCUUGCCUACUAUCUAGUUCUCUAAGCAAGCCUAUGAGUUAGUGGAUCAAAGAAUGUUAUGAACAGUGGUAAUCAAACUCUUGUGGAGAAAAAUUAGGUUUAGUACACUAUGGAAUAAGAUUAGUUCUUUAUGGAAACCUUAAAGUUCUUUUCAGUUAACGGGCUUUAGAGAAUGAUUACUUCGUAGUCAAAUUCAAGUUUGCAGAUCAUUAAGUUAAAGCUUUAUCAAAAGGACCAUGGUUCAUUUUUGGACAUUAUCUAACUGUUUGAUCUUAAAGUUCAUCCUCUUCAACUUUACAACCAUACCCAUUGAAUGUUGUUGUAUGAAUUAGGCUUCCCAAUUUAUCAGUCUUUUUUUACAAAAAAUCAUCCUUAAUGAAAUUAAGGAGAUGGUUGGAAGUACGAUUAAAAUAUAUUACAAUACCGACAAUAGGAUUAGGGGUCGCUUUGCUCAUAUGGUAAUGCGUGUUGACUUGAACAGACCCCUUAUAUCCAAAAUCAGGAUUAAAGAAAAAGUUCAACGUAUUGAAUAUGAAUCACUUCCUAGUAUUUGUUUCUAGUGUGUGUGUUACAGCCAUGUCAAAGAGAUCUAUCCUACAAUUAAGGAUGGAGAUGGUUGUAGAGACAUGGAAGAUGCACCAACCAAGGAGUCGUCCGCAGCUUAUCAUGUAAAAAUGAAGGAAUAUGGUUCUUGGAUGGUGGUCGAAAGAAGGAGGAAGCCUAAUAAGAAAUAUUCCAAUAAUUGUAAUAAUCUCAAUUUUAGUGGGAUUAAUGUGAAUGUUUUGAGAUUUCUGUUGGAAAAAUCCAGUUUGAAAACAGUUUUCUUGCAUAACGAAAAAUGAUUUUUUUUUUAAAACCAAUCCGAUUUGUGAUAUUUAUAGCAAUAAACCUAGACUGAAUUCGCACUUGUGUUUUCAGAUAGACGAAUCCUUGUCAUUCUCGACUUUCAACUAAACGAUCUUCUCUGCUAUUCUCGUACCACGAACUGCCUCGAGUGUGGGUUCAAAUGUUUCAAAUCAAAACACAAAACUAGAAAUAGUUUUCUUUUUUUAGGGUGAAAACAAAAAUUAUCUUCUCAAAUAGAAGUCUGUAGAAUAAUUAUUCCGAAAAAUAUAUUUAAUUCUUAGAGAAUAAAAUUCUCUCUAUUUUUGAGCAGAAUAACAAUAUCUGAAAGUUAUGUAAAUAGCUCAUAUUGGUGCUAUCUAUUUAAAUGAGAGAAUGUAAAACCUUAUUGAAUUGUAGAAGUUUAUUUCAACUAGAAAAACAAACUCCUAGUCUAACUAGGAGUAUAGGAGUUAAAAAUACUAGGGUUUGACAUCCCACCCUUUUACAUAAAGGACUUUUGGGUCUCUUCCAUAUUGGGUCCAAUUACAAGUACUUUUUGAGCUUUAAACCCAAUAAUUUAUAAUUUAAUCUAACUAAAUAUUUGUUUUCCUAUAUCCCAAAAUAACCUUCAAAUAUUUAUAAUUAAAUAAUUUUCCCAACCCAAUUCUACUUCCGCUAAAAUAAUGAAGACUUUACCAUAAAAGAAUCUAUAAAAAAUAUAUUUGUGGUUCCGUAUAUAACUACCUCCUUUAUGAUAUGAUACUUUCGAUCUGUAACAGCCUAUUUUUUUGUGGUGUUGGAAUAGUGAUUUUGGGGUCACAAAUCUAAUGUAUGAGCCCGUAAAUAUUAUUAUUUAAUAUUUACGAGUAAUAUAUAGUGUAAUGAUAAAAUUUUGAUUUAAUGAUUUAUGUUAAAUGGAAGAAUAAUUAGGUUCAAGUGGUAAGACCUUAAAGUCAUGUCGUUUUAAAAAAUAAGGUAUUGGGCCAUCGUUUCCAUAAAAUGAGUCGUAAAUAUUUUAUUAAAUAUUUAUGGAGUGUUAUUAAAGUCAUAUUAAAGUUUCGUUGAGAAAUUUUGAUGUUUAAAUGACGAAUUAGGUAAAAAAGACUAAAUCAUAAAAAGUGUAAAAGUUGAGUUCUAUUAGUUAAAGGGAUCUAAUAGCUUUAAAAUCUUAAACUAAAGGACUUGAAUGGUAAAUAGACUAAUUAAGGUUAUAGUGGAUGUGCAUGGACAAGGUAUUGAUGUAAUUUUUUAUUAUUAGUAAGGGUAAAAUGGUAAUUUGGUAAAUAAAGUAAAAUAACUAAAAGAAUUACAUUCAUCUUCUUCCCCAUUUUCAUUUCACCAUCGAAAAUCACCAUGGAUAUAGGGUAUGAGCUUUGGUUAGGCUUCCAAUUUGCAUGUAAGUCCAUUUUGCACUUUUUUUAAUGAUUUCUAUGUUUUUGAUGUAAUUUUUAGCUUAAUCUAGCUAGCCCGAUGAUCAAUUUGUAAAACUGCUAAAGAUUGAGGGCUAUGCCAUGAAUGUUCUUGAAUGGUUAUUGAUAUUAAAUCCUUGAAUGGUUAUUGAUAUUAAAUUCUAGAUUAUGAACCUUUGUUGAGAAAUAAACAAGUUUUGUAAAGUGAUUUUUUAUGAAAUUUACAUAUAAGGAUUGAUUUGUAAAAAUAGUAAAAGUUCGUGUUAAAUUUAUGAAAUAAUGAUUUGUACGGGUUGGUUUAAGUCCAUAAAGAAAUUGGUUAGUCUAUGAGAGGGAUUAGAAUGCUUAAAUUUCAAUUUAUGAGCUUAAAGACUAAAUUGUGAAAAGUUAAAAUGUUAGGGGAAAAAUAGUAAUUUUGCAUAAAUAUGAAAUGUGGACUAAGUUGAAUACUAUAAGUAUUAAAUGGAUUGAAAUUGUCUAUUUAGAUCAACAUAAACCACGUAUGGACCUAGAUCGAGGCAAAGUAAAAGUUUCAGAAUAGCUCGUUAUAACCUUUACGCCCUUAGUUGUUAAGGUAAGUUCGUAUGAACUGUAAUCGUUAUGAUGUUAUUUGAAUUAAAUGUUUAUUAUGUUAUUUAUAACGUCAAAUGAUCAAUGUAUAAUUAAAUCGAUGCAAUGAUGGUUAUCGAGUCCCGGUUGAACCUUAGGCCGCGUGACAGCCCGUGUCUCAGGCUGUGUGCUACACAAUUUGACCCUAUAAACAAGCCAUUUUAAGUCCAAAACUUGCCCAACCAUCUACUCCAUUUGUGCAUACAUUUAAUAGACCUAAACACAUUUCAAACACAUAUAAACAUACCAAUUCAUUCAAUCUAAUUCUCCUAACCAAUAUGUCAUUCAAAUGCACCUUAUUUAUACCAAAACAAGUUCAAUCAGAACAAAUCUAUAAUGCCAUAACUCAAGUACAAAACAUAGUCAAUUUAGCUACCUAAUGACAUCAAUUGCAAACCAUUCACCUUUCAUAAAACAUACCAAAUUAACGAUAUUCAUAUGGCUUUUAAUAUAUAAACAAACCAACUACACCAAAUAUUACAAAGUACUUAAAAGUGAUAAAAGUACAUAAACUUUCCAAAACAGCAUAAGUCCACACAAACAAAAUGUAUACAUAAAAGACAUAUUCAUACCAAAUUGAUCAUUAGCAUAUUCAAAAACUACCAUCAUAUAAAGCCUUAUACAUGUCAUUUAUAACCUUAGCCAAAAUAACUCAAAAACUACCGAAGUGAUUACUGGAUAGUGUGAUAGAACUCCGACAAACUUCCAGCCGAUCGAGCUUCCGACAAUCUACAAAACAGAGGAAAAUAACUACGUAAGCAUUUAGUGCUUAGUAGGCUCGUAUAAACUCAAACAUAAACUUACCCUUCUUAAACUCAUUUUAUGAAAUAUGCAUAGCAUCAUUAUCGUACUCAUAAGCUUAAUAAUAUCCUAUAUACACCACCAAACUCACAAGUUAGUAAGCUCAUGCAUAACACAUAUAGAAAAUCAACCCUAUCAUAAGUGAAUCUCCAUAUCCAUAUCAUUCAUCACAUACUUAUUUUGUUCCAUUCAAAUCAUUUGCAUUCAUCAAAUUUACCUUCUCAUAAGAUUAUGAUCAAUUAUCCAAUUGUAUACAUACCUUGCCAUUAACCUUACCUGUUGAACCAUCUAGAAUUUCAUUGGGUACUCGGGAAUGCUCACAUAUAGUGUGCCUUUCCAUAUAUCCAUGACCUUUCCUUUUCAAUAGUGCCCACACGAGCUGUGAAAUGAGCCUGCUCACACGAUUUGUGGGUCGAAAUGUUAGCUACACAAUACUGCUUACACGAGCUGUGAAAAAUUUGCAACAAAUACAGGACCUCAACCAUUAGUAGGACAUUCAAAACUAGCACCCCAAACAUGAAAUCCCUAAUGACAUGUCAUUUGUAUCCUAAGAAUUUUGAAGGUUUAAACAGGAUUAAAUAACCAUUAAUUAUUCAAGACACCGAUAUAUAUUAUUUUUCAAGUCAGUUUAUAACUAACAUAAUAUAACAAAUAAUCAAUCAAACUAUCAUUAAUAAGAUUAUAAUUCAUAAGAGCUUACCUCGAUAACUAUAGUCGCCAAAAGUAGAAUUGAAAACUAUUCCAAAGCUUUUGUUUUUCCCCGAUUUAAGUCUGAUUGUUGCUUAUCUUGAUCUAAAUAAAUAGUUUUAAUCAAUUAAGUACUUCAAAUAACCUUAAGUAUUCAAUUCAAUCUAUAAUUCAUAUUAUCAUAAAAUUACAAAAUUACCCUCCUAUUUUAACUUUUUCAUAACUUGGUCCUUAAGCUUGUAACUUGAAAUUUAACCAUUUUAACUUAAACCCAUGAUAACCAAUUCUUCCCUAAGCUUAAAUAAUCUACAAUUUUCCAUGAUUUUGUGCAAUAUACAUGAAAAUAUUCAAUUAAGCAAUUUAAUCCCUAAACCUUACAUUCAUCAAAUUCCACUUAACAAAUCAUGGUCAUUUAACAAUAAAAAUUAAUAAACUAUCAGUUAACAUCACAACUACAUCAAUUUCAUUCAUGGCAUAUCCUUCAAACUUAAAUAGUUUUGCAAUUUAACCCUUAAGUUAAGUAGUUUAAGCUAAAACGAGUUCAAAAACAUAAAAAUUACUAAAAACGGGUCUUGAAUACAACCAUGCAAGUGAAUUAACAAAAAUCCAAGCUUUUCUCCCCUUUUCAAUGGUGUUUUUAGUUAGACCAGAAAAAGAGAAAGAAGAUGAUAGCCUUUGUUUUAUUUAUUUCAUGUUUAUUUGAUUAUUUAAUCUUUUGCCUUUAUAUUAUAACUUAAAUACUAACAAAAACAUGUCCAUAUUUGUUCGCUAUCAACAUAUUGGUAUAAUUACCAUAAAAUUUCAUUAGCUUUCCUUUCCAUAUCCAAAUUACUCAUUAAACUAAUAUAAUUUAACUUUUACUUCUAUUACAAUUUAGUCCUUUUUACCUAAUUAACUAUUUAAACUUCAAAAUUUCUUAACGAAACUUUAAUACGACUCUAAUAUAACCCUAUAGACCUUAAAUAAAUAUUAAAAUAUUUACUUCCUUAUUGGAAUCGUGGUCUCGAAACCACUAUUUCCAACACUACUAAAAAUGGGUUGUUACACAUAUGGGUGUGUGGGAGGCCGUGUAAGCCAUACGGUCGUGUGGGCCCAAUUCUCAAAAAUUUACCAUAGGUUUGUCAUGCAAAUCAAAUUUAGCCCUUCUGUAGGGUAUGUAUGGUAUAAUUUGUCUAUAAACCAUGAUUUCUAAUGCUCUAUUCUGUUAAAUGUGACUUAUAAACGCAUGAGAUAUAUGUUAUAUGUAAUAGCAUGAUGUGUUUUAUGUUAAUAUGACCUGAAUAUGAUGUGUAUAGCAUGUAUGUCAUACAUGCAUUCGAUAUCUAUUUAAUUUUGCAUGUGCAUUAGGGGGAUUAUGAUUAUGAAGGAAGUUUUGGCAGUUUAAUUUAUCUGCCUUAUUUGGUGGCUCAAUCACGUGUAUCUGUUUCUGGCGGAUUACUGCGUAAGGAUCUGGCAGCUAGACUGCAAAUUUUCUGAAAAAUGACUCACGAUCACUUAGCGGUGUGUGGGGUUGGAUAGGUAUUUAAUACCCUAGCUAGUGUGUAAGGAUGGUCGAAGAUGGUGUGUAGCAGAUGGGGGUAGGAUUUGAAUCUGUAUUGUAAUAGCCUAAAUUCAAGGUUAUCGAAUCAGUGAUUUCGUAACCACAAAUCCGAUUUAAAGAGAAAUUUAUUUUAAUAUUUUUUCAUGAAUAUUGAUAUAAUAGGAAAAUCGUAUGAAAAUAUCGAUAGAAAAAUUUUACCGAUUUAGUGGUUAGUUAGAAAAAGAAAUUAUUGAAGAAAUCAGAUAAAAACAAGGUAUUGAGAUCUCGAUCUCAUAAAACCGAGUCAGAAAUAUUUUUAUAAAUAUUUAUGAAAUGUUAGUGAUGUGGUAUUAAAAUUUCGUUAGAAAAUUUUAAUGUUUGGGUAGUCAAUUAAGUGAAAAUGACUAAAUUGGAAAAGGUGUAAAAGUAGCUAGAAUGAUUAAAUUUAUGUGUCUAAUGAGAAAGGAUUUAAAAGGUAAUUAAACCUAAAAUUUAUUUGGGCUGGAUGGCAAGGGCAUGAAACCAGCAGGAAAAUUGAUGAUUUAAGGGCAAAAUUAGAAUAUUGCAUAAUUAACUAAAUAAAGAUAAGACUAAAUAGGAAAUAUCUAGAUUUCUCUUCAUUUCUUUUUAUUCUCAUCAGCCAAAACACCAUAGGAGGGGUUCUUUAGGCUGGUAUUCUAUAAUGUUUGCACCAAGUGGGUUAAUCCUUGCCUUUUUCUUAUAAGUUUUGUGUUUUUAAGACUUUUACAACUAGGUCCUACUAUUAAAUUCAUUAGUUUUUUAUUUCAUGGAUGAAAUUUAAAGUCACCAUGGUUGAGUGCUGUAAGUUUAUGAUGAAAUAGCAUGAAAUUUAAGCUUUAAUUUAUUUAUGAGUUGAUUUUAUUAGGUAAUUUCAAUAGAACUUGAUUUUUAGGACCUAAUUGUGAAAAUAUUUGGAAUUAAAAUCUAGUGCUGAAAUUCUGAUUCCCAAAGGUUAUAAAGUGGUUUAAAGUGAUAGAAUUAAGUGUUAAUUGAGAAAAAUCAGCUCAAUUGAGAGGCUAAUUGAGUAGGGAUGAAAUUAUCAUUUAUUAAAAGUUUAGGGGAAAAUGGUAAUAAACAUCUUGCACGAAAAUAGUUUUGGACAGCAGUAGUAGGAUGACUUUGAAAAAUCACCAUAAAAUUUGAAAAUCGAAUUAGAAGAUGAAAAAAAUAUGGAAUUAAAACUUAUUGAGUCUAGUUUCUCAUAGAAGAAACGGUGUAAGAAAUGGAAUUGUUAAUUAUGAGAUAUUAUAAAUUUUGUGAGACAAGGUCAAAAUGAAUUCGGGUUCCCCUGUUUUGACUUUUAAAAAUCAUAAAAAAUUUAAGAAAAAAAUAAAUAUAGGCUUAAAUUUAUAUUUUUAUAAUUAAAAAGAAUGAGUCUAUUUUCAAGAGAAUUAAACGAUAAUAUCAUCUGAAUCCUGUAUGAAGAGAUAAUUCAUUUUUAAUGAAGAAGGGUCAAAAUUGUCAGACAGCAGAAGAGGGGUGACUUUAAAGAAUAAAAUGUACUUAUUGGCUAAACCAAAAAUUCUGAAAAUUUUAUGGUAAGAAGAUGUAUGAGUCUAGUUUCAGGGAAAAUUAUCGUAUCCUAAUUUGGAGUUCUUUAACUCAAGAUAAAAAUAAUUUAGUGACUAUGACUCAAGUAGACAGCUUUGAAUGAACUAUAAAUAAUAGUGGAAUUAUAGAGAAUGUUGCAUAUUAACAUGAAAUGUAUUAAAUUGAUGAUUAAAUUUAUUUAUUUAGAUCUAGAAAAUUCAAAUACGAAGCUAGAUCGAGGAAAAAAAAAGUUCGGGAUUAGUAGAUUUGUGUAUACGAACAAGUAUCGAGGUAAGUUCAUGUAACUUAAAUUAUAUUUUUAAAUGCUUGAAAUGUAUGUUAUUGAUGUGAAUAUGAUUUUAAUAUUAAUUGUAUGAAAAUGAUGAAACAUUGAUAUAUUUGAUAAAAGGGGAAGAAAUCUCGGUUGAAUGAAAGGAAAAUUCGAUAGAUCUCUGAAAAGGAAUUGACGGUAAAAAGGAUCUAGCCCGAACGGGUGAUCCUAUCUUGAUAUAGCCCUUCCAAAGAAUAUGUGGAAAAUGGAUUUAGCCCGGACGGGUAAUCCGAAUUAGGGUCUGAAUUUAGCCUGGACUGGUAAUUUAGAUCCAAGCUCAUUAGAGUAAUUGUCGUUGCAAGGGAUUUAGCCUAGACUGGUAAUCCCGACAAUACUCUAUGAGUUUAUAUUACAGGGGAUUUAGCCUAGACUGGUAAUCCCACUAUAAGGAUGAAGUUUGCGGGAGUGUGCUCUUUGAAAUGGAAAUGUGCGCACAUGAAUAUGAAUUGACGGACCCGGAAUUACACACUAAAAGUGUACCUCUGAAAAAUCCAUCCAAAUUCCGAGAAAUUCAACGGGAUAAAUAUUAAAAAAUAACAAGGGAAUGAAAAUCAUGGUAUUGAUGAGCUUAUCAAUUAUUGUAUAUAUUACUGAUACAUGGAAAUUAUUGAACUAACUUGAAUGUUGAGUUUGUGCAUGUUAGGGUAAUAAUGCAUUGAAUGGAUAUUUGAAUGUUUAUUGCAUUGUAUUGAAAAUAUUAGUAAGUAUAAUUCUUGUUACAUGAGCUUACUAAGCACAAAGUGCUUACCCUGUUUUCUUUUCCCCUGUUUUGUAGUGUUAAGAGCUCGGAGAUCAGAUUCGGUUGGAGACACAUCACACUAUCAACCUCAAGAUUUCGGUAUAUAAAGAAACUUUAUUUUGGAAAUUAAUGCAUGUAUAAGCUAAUAUAGUAAAUGUUAAUGUGAAAUGAUUGUAAAGUCAGCCAUUGGUAUGGCUAACAAAUCUUAAUUUUGGUAUAUGAUGAAGUUAUCUUAUAAAUAUGCAUGAAUCUAUCUUGAAAAUAUGUUGAAUUGGAUUGGUUGAUGUAGAUUGGUCUCAGUUUAAAAUUGCAGGGAAGGUUAGAUAUCUAUAAAGGGGUUAUAUUGAGUUAAAAAAAUUAAUUCGUAAAUUCUGAUAAUGCCUCAUACCUUAUUCCGGCAACGAAUACGGGUAGGGGGUGUUACAUGUAUGUUAUGCAUUUGUUUCUGUAUCUGUAUAUGAAAUAUAUCUAGUUGGUACCUAAAUGCUUAUUUGCUAUAAUAUCUGAUGAAUCAUGUGUAUAUGAUUUAUUGUUUAAAAUAAGUUACACACUAAGCUCGUAAGCUCACUUUCUGUUUGUUUGCUAUCAGGUAAUCCAUAGACUUAGGGCGGAUCAGUGCAACGGAAGCUUAGUUAUUUAUUAUUAUUGCGUUUCUUUUAACUUGUUCAUAUCUGUUUUGCUCGUGGAUUGUUUUUGGACUUUUGGGGAUUGUUUUUAAAGUUUGGAUUUUAUUUUCCAUUUUAAAAUUGUUUUAACGUUUAGAUUAUAUUAAUUCUAUCUGCAAAAUGUUGGAUUUUCAAUGACAAACCACGUUUUCUAAAGCUAAAUUUAACUAAGAAAUUCUGCUGCAAACUUAAGUGUUUUAUAAAUAUAUAUAAUCGAAAAAUUUAAUGAAAUAGUUAAGAGAAGUAUUUUUCCAAAUAAACUGGAAUUUUUGUUUAUCACAAGCUAGCACUAUUUUUACAAGUCUCAAUUGGCUUCUAGAUUUUUAAAUAAUCAUGGUAACAUAUCCAGAUUUGGCCAUAACGUCUAAGUCAGGUUUGAGGCGUUACAUCCAAUGAAUAAAUUCUAACUAUCUAUAAUUACUCUUGAUAUACUUACUAAGUUCCUUGAGCUUAACGUGUUUCUUUCAACGUGUAAGUGUAGAACAUUUUGAGGAAAGUAGGCAAGAAGCAACUCCGACUCAUCUCAUCACAUCUUCCGACCAAAGGAAGUAUUGAAUUUUACAUUUUGGUAUAGUCUUGGUAUGUACAUAGGAAUCAUUGAAAGUGCUUUAUGAGUUUGGGAAUUAAACUUUUGGGGUAAUGAACCUUGAUGAUGAAUUGUUGUAUUUUGGGUAUGCUCUUAAUAGCUUAUAAUGAUAGAAGAAAUUAGUAAUGGUUGAAAAUGGUGUAGCUUACUACAGGUCGUUUCUGGUAUGAGCCAGUUCUGUAUUUUUUUUAACAUCAAACUUUAUAUAGGUAUCGAUACCUAAGUUAGAGUAUCGAUACUUGUUACAAGGUACUGAUACUUUAGUGAAUGUAUCGAUACUAUUGAUUCCGAUUUAUUUUUUUCAAACAUCUAAGCUCAAAACCAUUUUGGACAUCGAUACUGAAUAAUUUAGUACCGUUACCUUAUUGUGGGUAUCAAUACUUUGAGUUUCCAUCCAAAUUUUCUAAAAUACUAAAGCUAAAUUUGGCAUCAAUACCAUGAAAAGGUAUAGCCAAGGUACUGAUACCAAUAAAUUGGUAUCAAUAUUUUACAUUUUGAAUAAAAUAAAAAUUUGAAUAAAUAAUUAAAAAUUUUGUAUUGGGUAGUGGGUAAAUCUAAACUUUAAGUGCAAGUACAAUUUUUGUAACCGGUAUUGAUCUAGUGUAGUCGCCUUAGCGACAAAUGUGAUAUUUCGAGACUUUGAGCCGAUUAGCGUACAGGUUAAGAGGUAUUACAAUAUACAUCUAACAUACAAUUAAGAAGCAGAAAUUCAAUCAUUGAUAAAAUGAUUCGAUAAUCACAAUAUCAAUUUCAUCAUCUCAAGUUUUUAAAGAAAAAUACGUUUACUUGAACAUUUAUUUUGUAUUCAAUUAUAUGUGAUCAAUUGUUUCAACUAAGUAAUCAAAGAAACGAAAUAAUCGAAGAUGAAUUGUUAAAAGCACAAUUCGCAAAAACUAUUCGAUGGUUUUUUUUCUCUUGAUCGAAUGCUAAGACAACAAAUAAAGGAAGGUUUUUCUUUUCUUCUUUCAAGUUUGGACCACACUAAGUGAUAAAAAUGACUUAUGUUUUCUUUCACCUACUUAUGAUUGUAUAUAUGUAUAUGUAUAUGUAUAUAUAUAGUUUAAUGAAUUAAUUAACUUAAAAUAAUUAAAUUAUCCAUUAAUGUAAACCGUUACUAAUAUAUUAUAAUGUGAUGGAUAGUUAGUCAACUUAAUCAUUCCAACGCACUAAUUCAACAUUGAUUUGGUCAAAUUGUUUUAUAGUCUCUCACCUAAUUUCUAACUAAAUCCCUUUUCAUGUUCUAAAUUAAAAAUUCAUUAAUGAUUAUACUUUUGUAAUUUAAUCCCUAUACUAUAAUUAUCAAUCAAUUUAUUCUAAUUCUACUAAAUAAUUUAAUCUAUUAUUAUUGUAGAUGACACAUGAAUUUUCACUUCUAGACCUAACCAUCUCGGUUUAGCAAUUGACUCGAAAAUUAGGUUUUUCCGACUUAAAAAUUAGGUCAUUACAAAAUCUAUUUUUAGAAUAACAAAAAUUUUCUCAACAACAUUUUGAAACUUUGAGUGUCUCAAAUGAAACUAAAAUGAAAGAGUUAGUGUUGUCAAAAAAAAAAUUUUAACACUUUUUUAUUAUAAAUAAGUAUAUAUAUAUUUAUAACGUAUAGCAUGUACAAAUAUAUAAGUUAUGUUCAUACUUUUGGGUCAAAAUCGUUCAUAAAUAAGUAUAUUAUAACAUGUUUAGUUUUUUAUAACACAUAAAUUAUUUUUUAUAAUAUACUUUUUUUUCCAUAAGUUUAGAAAUUUUUUAGAAUUUAAACAAUAUAAUUUUUUGUUAUAACUUUAUAAAAUACAAAUAAAUUCUUUUUAGAAUAUAAUCUUUUUAAGAUUUAUAAUAUAACUUUAGAAUUUUUUUUACCAUAAUCAUCCUAAACACUCAUACGUGUUCAUGCAUAUAAUAUAUUUUUUUUAUAACUUAAACUUGUAUAACAAAUAAUUUCUUGAUGUUAAAUUGUAAUGGCCUAAAUUCAAGGUUAUCGGAACAAUGGUUUCGUAACCAUAGAUCCGAUUUAAAGAGAAAUUUAUUUCAAUAUUUUUGCUUGAAAAUUGAUAUGAUAGGAAAAUCGUAUGAAAAUAUUGAUAGAAAAAUUUUACCAAUUUAGUGAUUAGAUAGAAAAAGAAAUUAUUGAAGAAAUUGGGUAAAAACAAGGUAUCGAGACCUCUAUCUCGUAAAAACGAGUCAAAAAUAAUUUUAUAAAUAUUUAUGAAAUGUUAUUAAUGUGGUAUAAAAUUUCGUUAGGAAAUUUUAAUGUUUGGGUAAUCAGUUAAAUGAAAAGGACUAAAUUGUAAUAGGUGUAAAAAUUGCUAGAGUGAUUAAAUAGCUUAAGAGUCUAAUGAGAAAGGAUUUAAAAGGGAAUUAGACCCAAAAUUUAUUUGGGCUGGACGGCGAGGGUAUGAAAUCAGCAGAAAAAUUGAUAAAUUAAGGGUAAAAUUGGAAUAUUGCAAAAUUAACUAAAUAAAGCUAGGACUAAAUAGGAAAUAUCUAGAUUUCUCUUCAUUUCUCUUCAAUUUCGGCAGCUAAAAACGCCAUAGGAGGGUUAUCUAAGCUGAUAUUUCAUAAUUUUUGCACCAAGUGAGUUAAUCCUUGCCUUUGUCUUGUAAUUUUUGUGUUUCUAAGACUUUUACAACUAGGUACUACUAUUAAAUUCAUUAGUUUUUGAUUUCAUGGAUGAAAUUGAAAGUCGCCAUGGUUGAGUUCUGUAAGUUUAUGAUGAAAUAGAAUUAAAUUAAAGCUUUAAUUUGUUUAUGAGAUGAUUUUAUUAGGUAAUUUCAAUAGAAAUUGAUUUUUAGGACCUAAUUGUGAAAAUGCUUGGAAUUAAAGUCUAUUGCUGAAAUUCUGAUUCCUAAAGGUUGUAAACUAGUUUAAGGUAUAGAAUAAAAUGUUAAUUGAGAAAAAUCAGCUCAAUUGAGAGGCUAAUUGAGUAGGGACGAAAUUAUCAUUUAUUAAAAGCUUAGGGGAAAAAUGGUAAUAAACAGCUUGCACAAAAACAGUUUGGACAGCAGUAGUAGACUAACUUUGAAAAAUCACCAUAAAUUGUAGAAAUCAAAUUAGAAGAUAAAAAAAAUAUGGAAUUAAAGCUUAUUGAGUCUAGUUUCUCAUAGAAGAAAUAGUGUAAGCAAUGGAUUUGUAAAUUUUGAGAUAUAAUGAAUUUUGUGAGACAAGGUCAGAAUGAAUUCGGGUUCCCCUGUUCUGACUUUGAAAAAUCAUAAAAAAUUUAAGAAAAACAAUUACGGGCUUAAAUUUAUAUUUCUAGAAUCCUUAAUGAGUCUAUUUUUAAUAGAAACAAACGAGAACAUUAUUUGAAUUCUAUAUGAAGAGAUAAUUAAUUUUUAGUGAAGAAGGAUCAAAACUGUUGACAGCUGAAUAGGGGUGACUUUAAAGAAUAAACUGUACUUAUUGGCUAAACCAAAAAUUCUGAAAAUUUUAUGGUAAAAAUAUAUAUGAGUCUAGUUUCAGGAAAAAUUAACGGAUCUUAAUUUGGAGUUCCGUAGCUAAAGUUAUAAAUAAUUUAGUGACUAUGACUCAAGUAGACAGCUUUGAAUGAACUAUAAAUAAUAGUUGAAUUAUAGAGAAUGUUGCAUAUGAACAUGAAAUGUAUUAAAUUGAUAAUUAAAUUUAUUUAUUUAGAUCCGGAAGAUUCAAAUACCAAGCUAGAUCGAGGAAAGGAAAAAGUUCGGGAUUAGUAGAUUUUUACUGUUUACAAACAAGUAUCAAGGUAAGUUCGUGUAACUUGAAUUAUAUUCUUAAAUGCUUGAAAUGCAUGUUUUUGAUAUGAACAUGAUUUGAAUGUUCAUUAUAUGGAAAUUUAUGAAACAUUGAUAUAUUUGAUAAAAUGGGAAGAAAUCCCGUUUGAAUGAAAGGAAAAUUCGAUGGAUCUCUGAAAAGGAAUUGACGGUAAAAAGGAUCUAGCUCGGACGGGUGAUCCUAUCCUGAUAUAGCCCUCUCGAAGAAUAUGUGUAAAAUGGAUUUAGCCCGGACGGGUAAUCCGAAUUAGGGUCUGAAUUUAGCCUGGACUGGUAAUUCAGAUCCAAGCUCAUUAGAGUAAUUGUCGUUGCAGGGGAUUUAGCCUGGACUGGUAAUCCCGAAAAUACUCUAUGAGUUUAUAUUGCAAGGGAUUUAGCCUGGACUGGUAAUCCCGCUGCAAGGUUGAGGUUCGCGGGAGUGUGCUCUCUGAAAUGGAUAUGUGCGCACAUGAAUAUGAAUUGACGGACCCGGAAUUGUACAAUAAAUGUGUACCUCUGAAAAUCCAUCGAAAUUCUGAUAAAUUCAACGGGAUAAAUAUGGAAAAAUAGCAAGGAAAUGGAAAUCAUGGUAUUGACGAGCUCAUCAAUCAUGGUAUAUAUAUUAUUGAUAUAUGGAAAUUAUUGUACUAACUUGAAUGUUGAGUUUGUGCAUGUUAGGGUAAUAAUGCAUUGAAUGGAUAUGUGAAUGUUUAUUAUAUUGUAUUGAAAAUAUUAGGUAAGUAUAAUUCUUGUUACAUGAGCUUACUAAGCACAAAGUGCUUACCCCGUUUCCUUUUUCCCUGUUUUGUAGUGUUAAGAGCCCGAAGGUCGGAUUUGGUCGGAGACACAUCAUACUGUCAACCUCAGGAUUUCGGUAUAUAAAGAAAUUUUAUUUUGGAAAUCAAUGGCAUGAAUAAGCUAACAAAGAAAAUGUUAACGUGAAAUGAAUGUAAAGUUAGCCAUUAGUAUGGUUAACAAACCUGGUUUUAGAUAUGUGAUGAUGUUAUCUUAUAAAUAUGCAUGAAUUUAUCUUGAAAAUAUGUUGAAUUGAUUUGGUUGAUGUGGAUUGGUCUCGAUUUAAUAUUGCAGGGAAGGUUAGAUAUUUAUAAAGGGACUAUAUUGAAUAUAAAAAAAAUUUAAUUCGUAAACUCCGGUAAUGCCUCGUACCCUAUUCCGGCAAUGAAUACGGGUAGGGGUAUUACAUAAAUCAUGUAUAAGUGUUUGGAAAGCCAUAGGGUAAUUGAAUUUGAGUGUAAUUAUCCACAUAAUUACAACAAUUACACCCAAUUUAGUGAGACCCAUCAAUUAUAAUGGUCACCCAAACAUGUCACAUGUAUAUAAUUACAAGCAAUUAUACUCAAAUCCAUUUACUAGGUGGCUCUCCAAAUACUACUUUAUCUUUACUCAUGAUUUCAGGAUUUUAAGGUUGAUCUUAUUAUCACCAAUAUUGUAUGCCUCAACUAUAAAUUUCAUGUUUUUUUAUAUAUUUUUUGAAUUUUUAUUAUAAGGUUUUGAAAUUUUAAUAUUUUUAUUUAAUUUAUUUUUAAAUUUUUUACUAUUUUACUAUUUUUAUGUAUUUUGAGAUUUUUUAAAAUUUUAAUUUUUUUUUUAAAAUUUGAUUAAAUUAAAAGAAAGUGAAAAAAUUGAAUCCAAAUUUGUUUUUAAAAAAUAGAACUAAAUUGAUAGAUUAUGUAAAAUGUUAAGGGCUAAUUAUGUUAUUGUACCACUCAAAAGAAAUUCACAUCAAUAUUUUCGUCUAAUGACCAAAGCAUUUUAACGAAGAGUGACUAAAAAAUGAAAUUAAGUAAACAAGAGUGACUGAAUUAAUAAAAAAGAAAUUAAAUAACCAAAAUAUAUUACUAUUUAAAUAGUUUACCCUUCUCCUUUAUUUCGGAUUAUAGAGCAAAUUUUGAUGAUUGUACCUUUAAAAUGAGUAUAAAGAGUUUUUGCUAGAAAAACAAGUAGAAUGAUAUUGUUUGAAAAUGUGUUAAAAUGCUAUUCGUUUUAUGAUAUUGAUUUAAUUAAAUAAUGCAUCAUUAGUUUAAAUAUGAUAUAGUAUUUUUACCCGUAUUUUUAAUUUUAUGUUUUAUGCUUUUAUAUCUUAAUUUGAGCACAUACAUGAAAUUAGAAAUCGAGUUAAAUGUAACUCUUUAAAUUAAAUUACAAUGAUUGAAAAUAUGACUUCUCACUUAAAAUCUUACUUUAUAUUUCAAGAAAAUAUUUAAUACACUAUUAGUAGAGUUUUUAGAUUCCACAAGUAGAGUUUGAGGUUGACAAGUGUCCUAUAAAAGUAUAAUAAAAUAUUAAAAAUAAAUAUUUUAAAAAUGAGAUACAUGUCAAUUUUUUAAAGUUACUUGUGAAAUAAAAAAAUUACACCAAACUAAGAAUCGAAAAAAGAAUGUCUAAGGAAAUCCCCUCUUCUUUGUCUCCGGCGGUUAAUGGAGACGAUGGAGAUCCCCACUCUGUUGAGGAUCGACCACUAAGAAAGUGAGGUUUAAGAGCAGAGUUGAUGUAGCUUCGGAUAUGGUUGUGGACCCUAAUCUGACUACAACGCCCUUGUGGAAGGAUAAGCUAUUGGGUGGAAAUCCGAACCAUCUUAUGAUGGAAUGAAAUGUUUCUUCCUUUGGAAGAGAUAAUGCAAGCAAUGGUGAUUUUGAUUUACGAGCAGACGAUGUGCAAACAUCCAUCAUCAAUGGAGUUUCAACCAUUAAUUUUUCUAAUCGGGUUAAAGAAAUUAUGUUUAAAGAAAUGGAAUUAACUAUGGUUAUCAAGCUCUUAGGGUGAAAUAUUGGUUAAAAUACUUUACAUAAUCACAUUACUAGUCUUUGGAAAAUUAUUUCCCCCUUUCAUGUCAUGGAUAUUGAGAAUGAUUAUUACUUGGUGCAUUUUGUGAAUAAGGCUGAUUAUGAUUAUAUCGUGUCGCAGGGACCUUGGAUAAUCUUUGGACAAUAUCUCACUGUUCAACCAUGGACAAAGGACUUUAGCCCUUCGCAACUGUAUCCCAGUAUGGUUUUGGCUUGGAUUCGGCUGCCAGGUUUCCCGGGGUUUUUGUUUCGUCAACAAAUUAUGGAGGCUAUUUGGGGGCUUAUCGGGAAGGUUGUCAAAUUGGACUAGGUCCAGAGGUUGUUUCGCUCGCUUUACAGUAUUCUUGAACCUCGAGAAGCCUCUGAUUUCUCAGGUCUUGUUUGAUGGCGCCGUUCAGAGAGUGGAGUAUGAGGUACUCCCUACUGUCUGUUUUGGCUAUGUCAAAUAUGGACACUUCAAGGACUUAUGUUCGACGAUGGUUGCUGAUUGUACCUUUGACUGCCCAUUGGAGUUGGUGAAUGUUGGUCGGCUGCGGCCGCUGGUGGUGUUGCUGAAGAAACGGGAACGGAGUUUGGUCCAUAAAUGUUGGUUGAGCGUAGAUCUUGGUGAGGUUUGAGGAAUGGACGAGGCGCUUCCGGAGUGAACAAUGGAGUGAUUAACGGAUCCAAAAAUCGUAAGAAGACAAACUCAAAUUUUUCGGUAUUAAUGGAAGGGGAUAAGAAUCGCGAUAUGAUCGCUGUAGCUGAUGAUAAUUUGUCGAUGGAAAAUGCUGAAAUGAAUGUUGAGGGAGCGGGGGUUUUUAUUACUAGGGUUGGGAGCAAAAAAUUGGGAGAUUUGGACUCUUCUGCUGGUCCAAGUAGUAAGCCCAUUUCGGGCUUUAGCUCUUCUAAGGGGGAUGCUGCAGCAAAGUUGGUAAUGCUGCCACAAAGUUGGUUUUAAUAGGUUCGGGUCGUCCAGGAGUUGGGCCUAUGGUGGAGUCUGUUAAGCAAGGUUUUCUGGGCUAGGAGAAUAUUAGGGAGUAAGGGAAAAAUAUAGAGAAAAGGCCAAUGAUGAGAAUGAGAAUGCACAGGUUUCGAAUGAAAAUCAUUCUACUAAUAAUUUUGUUUCUAAUUCUAUUUUAAAUUUUAGUGUUGCAAGACCUUCACCUCAAUUGUCUUCGGGUAAGAACUUGAUUUUGACUGAUGUUGAUCAUGGUGAUUUUCUUAUUGAGGCUUGAGAGGAUUUAAAUACUGGAAUUUUUGAUAACAUAAAAGCUCAUUUUAAUCCUGCUUUUGAAGGCUCUAGAGGUUCUCCUGUUCCCAUUUCUGAUGAUGUUUUGGACCCCGAGAAACAUUUUGCAAUUAGUUUUAAGGAUAAUUCUCAUAAGAAAGAAAAAAUAUUUCGGUUAAGUUAUCCCGGGAAAGGAAAUGUGACAGAAUUUCUGUUCCUAAAGAGAGGCAUGGAGGUAAAGAUUCCUUUAGGCGUGGUAGUCGAAAAGUUUCCAAUGCGUUGCAUGGUCAGGGAAGUCGUUUCAAAGCUUCUGGGAACUUCAGAGUACCGUUAGCUGAAUCUAUGGAGGAAAUGGCUAAACUCAUUUCAAAUUUGAAUUAUAGUAAUGACAUUAACUCUGAUUCAGACGACGCGACCUUGAUCACAGAUGGGGAUACUGUCUCUCGACAAAAAUAGGUAUGUUUCCUUUUUUUAUUAUAAUUUUUUUAUGAAUUUUACCAUUUUUUCUUGAAAUUGUCAGGAAUGUGCUAGCGAUAAGUUUCCUCGUAUUUUUUGGGAGUAUAAUCGGGAAUAUAGGCCUGAUAUUAUUAGUUUUCUUGAUAUGAGAGUUAGUGGUUCCAAAGCUGAUAAUAUUAUUGCUAAACUGGGGUUCCCUUAUUCUCAUUGCGUUGAAUCGAUUGGUUUCUCCGAGGGCAUUUGCAUUGGGUGGAAGGAUUUUGUUUGCUUUGAUAUCAUUUUAAUCACUCUCAGUUUAUUCUAGCUCGAGUGGGAUCGACACCUUCCUCAAAUGCAAUUUUCAUCUCUUUCGUCUAUGGGAGCCCAAAUAGGUAGAAACAGAAGGAUUUGUGGGAUACCUUAAAACAUUCAAUCCCAAUGGGAAAUUACCCAUGGGUUGCAAUCGGUGACUUUAACGCUAUUCUUUCUUCCUCUGAGAAAUCAGGUGAUAUGUCUAAAGGUAAGUGUUGCCCUCUUUUUGGAAAUUUUAUGGAUAAGGCAGAGCUUCAUGAGUUAGGGUACAAGGGGCCCCCUAUUAUAUGGCAUAGGGAUUUACUUUUUAAAGGCUUAACUGGGCUCUCGGAAAUGAUGCAUGGGUCCAGCAUUUUCUAAAUAGUUUGGUCACCCACCUUUCAAAAAUUAAGUCUGAUCAUAUGCCUCUUCUCAUUUCUUUAAAUCUGAAGAUUAUUCUUCCUAGAGGUAGGCCUUUUGGGUUUUUGGCAGGUUGGGUUGAGCAUCUGGAUUUUGGAAAACUGGUAGAAGAUAAAUGGGGUUUCUCUGGUGACAAGGCAGCUACUUUAAGUACUUUCCGCCGUGAUCUUAAAGAUUGAAAUAAGUUGGUCUAUGGUCACAUCACUUUUUGGAAAAAUUUUCUUGUUCAGGAGCUUACCAAAAUUCAGAAGAUUAUGGAUCUCUCUAGUUUUAACAGUCUAGCUCAGGUGGAGUUAAAAAUUCGACAGGAGUUGGAGAAUGUUCUUUAUCAUGAAGAACUCCUUUGGAAUCAAAAGAUUCGUUGUGAUUGGCUUUAUCUUAGAGACAGCAAUACUAUGUUUUUUCACUCUCAUACGUUGCGUCAAAGAAAGAAUAACCUUAUUAUUGCAAUUCGUAAUGAUUGUGGGAACUGGAUUUAUGAGCCGGAAGAUAUUAAAGCUGAGGCUAAUAAAUUUUUUCAGAAUUUGUACAGGGAGUUUCCUGGUCCUAUGGGACGAUUGCCUUCUAGUAAUUUUCCUCGUCUUGGUCAAUAUGAUAUCUCCUUUUUGGGGAAGCAGAUAACUAAUGAGGAAAUUAAGGGGGCUCUUUUUAACAUGUCUCAUUUUAAAGCUUCAGGUAGUGAUGGUUUUUAUGCACUCUUUUUCCAGAAGCAAUGGAAUACUGUUGGAGAUGCAGUCUGCAAUUGGGUUAGGGGUUAUUUUAAUGGGGCCAACAUUGAUGCUGAACUGAAUAAUACAUUAAUUGUCUUUAUUCCCAAGGUUGACAAUCUUGAGGAUUUUUCCCAAUAUCGUUCAAUUAGCCUCUGCUCUAUUUUAUACAAACUUGUGAUUAAGGUUAUUGCAAAUCAUUUUAAAGUUAUUUUUCCUAAGAUUAUUGGUCCCGAACAGGCUGGGUUUAUUGCAGGGAGGAAUAUUACUGACAAUGUCAUGAUUGCCCAAGAGGUAAUCCACUCGAUACGGAGCUUUUGUAGAAAAAAAUGGAUGACUAUCAAGAUAGACUUGGAGAAGGUCUACGACAGAGUACGAUGAGACUUUAUCAAUGCUUCACUCCAAGCAGCCGGUAUCCCUACUUUUCUCAUAAAUUUUAUUGUGUCAUCUAUAUCUAAUUCUACGAUGCAGGUUUUGUGGAAUGGUGUUCCAUUGUCUAAGUUCAGGCUUGCUAGAGGAAUCCGACAAGGAUGCCCGCUCUCUCCUUAUUUUUUCAUAUUAUGCAUGGAUUGGCUUGGCCAAACAAUUCAUUCGACUAUAUCUCGGAGGGUGAAUAGAGUCCCAUUCAGCUAUCCCAGGCUAGUCUUCCUAUCUCUCAUUUAUUUAUUACAAAUGAUUAGGUUAUUUUCAGUAAAGCUGAUACAAAACAUAGUAAACUCAUAAAGGGCAUUCUCGGUAGUUUCUGCGAUUUUUCUGGUCAUAAAAUAAAUGAUAGGAAAAUGAGCAUCUUUUUCUCUAAAGGUGUGGAGAUGACAGUGGCGGACUCAAUUAGUUCUUUGUUUGGUUUCCAAAAAGUUCAGAAUCUUGGUCACUACCUUAGGAUUCCACUCUUUCAUAAGAGGGUGACUAAUAGUACUAUGCACUUCGUUGUUGAGAAAGUUAGAGGCAAGCUCCAAAGUUGGGAUGCAAAAAGAUGAUCCAUUACUUAUAACAGCUCGAUUUUGGGCCUAGUCAGAACAAUGGUUUCGGAACCACUAUUUCGAAGUUGGAGAAAUUAUUUUAAUAUUAUUUUAUGUGUGACGACAUGAUUAUAAAGGUGCAUGAAAAAUUUGGUGAAUAAAUUUUAGCGUUUAAGAGCUUAAUUGCGAAAAAGGACUAAAUCGCAUAAAAGGUAAAAGUUUAAUUUCACUUGAUAGACAUACCAAAUAGCUAAAGAGCCAAAAUUUAUGAUCUUUAAAUGGAAAAUAGACCCUUAAAAUGCAGUAUGGCUGGCCAUAGGGAUAAAGAAUUAGGCUAGUCAAUGUUAGGUAAAAAUUUGGUGACUUGUUUGACUAAAAAGAAAUAAAAUAAAUAAAAGAUGAUAUCACCCAUUUCACCUCUUCUUCUUCACCAAAAUUCUCAGCAAAAAUAAGGGUUUUGAAGCCUUGAAAUUUUAGCCAAGCUAGCAUCUUGCAAGUAAGUCAAUUUGAGGGUUAUUCUUGAUAAUUUUUGUACUUUUGGGACCCCUAAAGCUUAAUCUAGCUAUUAAGGGGACUAUUUGUGAAAUGAUUGAUAGUAUAGGGAAUUACCAUGAAAGGAUUUGUAUGGUUGCUGAGUUUUUAUGGAAGAAAAUGAGUAUUGGUUGUUGAGUGAACAACUUUUGUGAAAGGACUUAUCAUGAAAACCCUAAUAGGACCAUUUUGUAAAGUUUGUAAAAUAGAUAGUAAUGUUAUGAAAUAUUGAGAAUUUGGGGUGGUCAUUAGAGAAAUAAAUGUUCGGUUAGGCUUGGCUAAUAAGGAAAUUCGAUAAAAAUCAAUUUUCGAGCCUAGGGGUAAAAUCGUAAUUUUUACGAAGUUUAAGGGCAAAACAGUCAAUUUACCAAAGUAUGAGUCUUAAGUUGAAUUGAAUGAUUUGUAUAUUAAAUAAGCUAAUUUUUGACAUUUUAAAUCAAAAGAAACGUGAUUCGGGUAUUGAUCGAGGGAAGAACAAAAUUUACGAGGAUUAAGCUCAUUCCCAUCAUUUUGUGCCGAGGUAAGUACAUAUGUAUAGGGGUGUUCAGUCGGUUAACCGACCCGAAAUAACAUUAAUCGAAUUAAUCGACUUUUCAAAAUUUUUAACUGUUAAUCGAACCGAAAUUUUUUCGGUUAAUUCGAUAGGUUAACCGAAUUAACUAAAAAUUAUAUGUUUUUUUAAUUUUUGGUUAAAAUAAGAAUAAAAUUAACCGAAUUAACCAAAUUAACCGAAUUACCCCAAUUAACCAAAUUAACCGAAUUAUUCAAAUUAUUUGUAUAAAAUUAUAUUUUUUAUUUUUAUUUUUACUCAUUAAAUUAUUUGUAAUUUUUAUGAUUGGAUUGGGUAAUUGGGUUGGGUUAGGUACUUGGGUUAAUAUAUAUUAGAUUGGGUAUUUGGGUUUAUGUUGGAUUAGGUUUGAGUGAAUAGUGGGCUAUUUAUAUAUUAUAAUUUUAUUUAUUAAUUUUUUCGGUUAAACUGAAAAAAUUCGGUUAACCGACCGGUUUCAAACCGAAUUAACCAUUAACUAAAAACUCAAAAAAUUAUUAACCGACCCCCACCGAAUUAAUUCGGUUUACCGACUGAUUAACUGAAUUCAGUCGGUUAACCGAAUUUUGCACACCCCUACAUAUGUAAAUAAUGUGUCAUUGUAGCUUACUUUUAAAUGUUUUUUUUACCAUGUAUCAUAAUCUACUCGAUACCAUGAAAGUAUAAAUAAUGCGAUAUAAGAGUAACCUACAUUAUGAACAAGUGCGAUAGCAUCAGGUUAGAUACGAGAUCCAGUCGAACCUCAGAAAUAGUAUAGGAUACAAAAGGUAAGUCAUGAGAAAUUGAAUGGUCUGAACUCAUGAGUUGAGUCUAAGUUCAUGAGACAAGUGAAAUAUGUAAUGUGGGUCUGGGUACUGACUUUGUGUACAGACCCGUGAGUAGCUCAAUGAGUGGGCAUUACAUGAUAGAGCUAUAGGGUCCGGGUAUUGACUUGGUGAAAAGGCCCUUGAGUAGCUCAAAUAUGCAAGUAUUACAAAGUACGAGGUAACUUUGGCUACUUGUAUAGUAUUUAGGAGUAAACUAUCCGUGUAUUCAUUGGUAUUUCUGAGUGUUCAAAGGGUUAACUCGAUGAAUGGAUUGGCGAUACUUCCAAUGAGGUAUGUCAAUAGAGAGAAUGAACUUGAGUUAUUUUACUGGUAACUACAGGUAUAUAUACUAAACUCUCGAACGAAGACCUUAAUGUGUGAUGAGAUGUAGUAAGUAUGCGUAAAAGAAGGAAGAGCAAGAUAGUGAGGUUAAAAUGAUAUACCAUUUAAGUAUGAUAAGCCAUUGUUUGACGAAUGUGUUUCUAAUUACACUUAUUUGCAUAUAUGUACUUACUAAGCUCCCAUGCUUACCUUUUUUCCUUUCCAUUUCCUUUUAGUGCCGCCAAAGUAGUUCGAGGAUUGUCGCAUACGUCGGAGAAGCUAGUCACACUAUCCUUGAAGCACUUGGUAUAACUAGUUUUAUCAUUUUGAUUAGGACAUGUAUAGGAGUAUUUGAUUUUAUUUUUGUGUCACAUUGUUUUGGGGCCAAAGGUGUUGGCUUGUUUUAACAUUUGACUCAUUUUGUAUAAGGCCAUGAAAAUGGCUAAUAUUUUAAGUCAUUAUAUGAAUGCAAGAUAGUCUUUUGCGAAUGUGAAAUUGUUGAUAUGGUUAAAUUUGUGAAAUGUAUAUAGGCCUUAGCUAUGGUUGUUGGUUGAGAACUCAUAUUAAAUUAGACCUUGAUAUGUUGAUUAGUAUUAAAUUUUGUUUCAGGGUGGCAUAAGGCUUGGUAAAUAGCCUUAUAUUGUCCACACGGGUAAACACACGGGCGUGUGUCUAGGCCGUGUGUGACACACGGCCAGCCCCAUGGGCGUGUUGUCCGGCCGUGUGUCCCCUGCACGUAAAUUUUACAAGUCAGUAUACAUGGUAAUAGACAAACGGGUAGAGACACAGUCGUGUGUCUCAGCCGUGUGAAGGGCAUAGUCUAGCACACGGGUGUGUGCCUUGGCCGUGCGCCCCUAAUUGGAUGCUGACGUUAGAAACAAAAUGUCAAGGUUUUUAGACACGGGCUAAGACACGGGCGUGUCAUGGCCGUGUGAGGGACACGGGCCAUAGACACGGGCGUGUUCCAUGUCGUAUGAAAACCUCUAUGCUUUAAAUUUAGAAUUUAAUUCACACGGGCAUGGGACAUGGGCGUGUCCCUAGAUGCUUAAGCAGUGUGUGCCACAAGGGCCAUUAGUACGACCAUGUUCAAGUUCCACACGAGCGUGUCGCCCAUCCACACGGGCGUCUGCCCUGUUUCAAAGGUCAUUUUCCUAGUGUUGAUUAAAGGACCUGAAUUGGUCCCGAGUGAUUUCCAAGAGAUGCUUUGGGCCUUAUAGGCUCCUGAUAAGAAGUUUGUGAAAAGUUUGAAAAAGUUUUGAAUUUAAUCAAGUCUUGGUAACACGUAAAUGUUUGAAUGCAUGUGUUUAAGUUUAGUAACACCUCGUAUUCCGUCCUAGUGUAGGGCACAGGUGUGGGGUGUUACAUCGCUGGUCACACCACUUUGGUAUAGUCGAUUAUUCUAUCUAUUCCUAGCUACUUUAUGCAGUCCAUGAUAAUCCAUAAGAAAGUUUGUGAUGAAAUUGAGAGUUCGGUGAAGCAGUUCAUUUGGGGUUCUUCUGAGCAUAAAAGGAAGAUGUCUUUAGUUAGGUGAGACUCCAUUUGUCACCCUAAAUGUUGUGGAGGCCUUGGUUUACGGAAACUUCGAGACCAAAAUAUCUCAUUCCUGCUAAAGCUAGGUUUUAAUCUCGUUACUAAUAAAUAGACCCUUUGGGUUUGGGUUAUUAGGGCUAAAUAUCGUAUGGAGGAUACUUCUCUUGAAACUAUUAAGCAAGAAAGAAGUUCGUUCUGUGGAAUUCCCUCACUAAAAUUUGGCCGUUGCUUCGAGAAAACUUAUGUUAGUCCAUUGGUAACAGGAUUCAAAUUUGUUGUUGGGAAUAUGUUUGGAUUCCUACUGUGGGAAAGUUGAUCAAGAUUAUUCCAGCUAAUGUUAAUAUUGACUCAGGGUGCUGUCUUAAUGAUAUGGUCAAUGAGGAUGGUUUGUGGAACCUUGAUUUGUUCAGACUUUGGAUCCUAGAGGAAGUGAUCGAGUUGAUUAUAGGUAUUCCCCCUUCUCUUCCAUUUGAGGGGCAAGAUAGAAUCAUUUGGUGUCAUACUUCGUCUGGAAACUUCUCGGUCAAAAGCACUUAUAAGAUUUGUAAUGGUGAUGGAUAGAAUUUAAAUGAUGAAAAAUGGAAAUAGAAUCAUUUGGUGUCAUACUUUGUCUGGAAACUUCUCGGUCAAAAGCGCUUAUAAGAUUUGUAAUGGUGAUGGAUAGAAUUUAAUGGAUGAAAAAUGGAAGUAUGUUUGGAAGACUCCAGGCCCUCAAAGAGUUCAUUUCUUUAUUUGGUUAGUUCUUAAGCAGCGUCUCUUCAGUAAUGUUGAAAGGGUCAAAAGAGGUUUAGCAGUUGAUCCCUCAUGCUUUACAUGUAGUUCUCCUUCAGAAGAUAUUCUUCAUAUCCCUAGAUAUUGUAAUGCAGCUAAGGAUGUGUGAAGCAAGGUCAUAACAAGUAAUCAUUUUGACGAAUUUUUUCUCUCUUAACUUACAAGUUUGGAUUCUUUUAAAUGUGUAGGAUGAUUCAGUGAUCUCGGAGGGAGAAGCUAGCUGGGCUAGUUUUUUUGGAAUUUUGAUUUGGCGGCUUUGGAAGAAUCGUAAUCUUCUCAUUUUUCAGGGUCAUGCUGGGAGUUCGAAAGAGAUUGUCAAUAACUCUUUGUGUUGUGCUACUCAAUGUUAUUCACCCUCAAGAGUUACUACCUGUGGUGGUCUUGGUCCUUCCUUGGAAGAAGAAGCUUAUGGGUUUAAGAUCUUCUUCAAUACAUGUGAGGCAAUGCGAUUGGAUACUGGAACUGCAGCUGCUGGGGGGUUGCGAGAGAUAGGAAUGGACAGUGGCUCUUUGGUUUUAAUCGAUAUAUUGGAAAGUGCUCGAUUUUCGAAGUUGAACUUUGAGGUAUUUUUGAAGGACUUAAGCUUGCCCAACGAAGAGGUCAUGAUUGUGCAAUAAACCUAUCAGACAGUCUGAACGUUGUUCGGGCCAUUCAAGGGAGUUGUCCAGCCACGUUGAAUUCCCUUUGAUUAGGCAUAUCCAGAGCAUCUUAUCUCAGGAGAAUUUUUGGUUAUUACGGUAUAUUCCCAGGGAGCAAAUUGCAGUAGCAGAUUGUUUGGCAAAAGGAGCUCUAUCUUCUACAGUGGAUUUGCAAUUCUUUGAUAUUCCCCCUGCUACGGUUCAAAAUUUCUUAGAUAUUGUCUAGUCUAGAGGUUUUUUCUCUGAUCGUAUGGAUGUAAUCAAUUAGAUGGUUUCUUUGUUUUUUUUUUCACCAAAAAAAUUACACCAAACUAAAUAUAGACAGUUAAAUUAAUGUCAUAAUAUUAAAAAAAAUUAUUAAUUUCACUUCAUAUGAAUUUUAUUUUUUAUUUUUUAUUUUAGCUAUCGAGAGUGUUACGUGGAAAUGCUGAGCAUUCAACAAAAGGCACGGAUACCAUUCAGAAUUUUUUUUAAAAUUCUUUAAUUUUGAAAAAUUAAAGAAAUAAAUAAAAAAUUAAUAAUUAAGUUAUUCAGUCAAUCAAAAGAUUCAAAACCAAUACAAUUUAAUCCUCCCCAUUAUCCAAUAAGAAAUCUAUUAUCCUAACCCAACCUAUUACUCAGUUAUCCAUACUCAUCUAACCCUAAACCCAAUUAAUGGAAACAGGCAACCAAUGGAAUUGAUGAAACUAGGUCGACUCAUUUCUUUCAAUUAUGAAACUAAAGCCCAUCAAUUUGAAUUAAUUUUCCCAAUAAGAGUCAAUUGAGUCUUGAAAUAGACUCAUCGGACGGUCCCUUAUCUGGGCUUUCUAAUGAAGGCUUCGUUUGGAUGGGCGAUUGACUGCGGUGCGGUGCGUUUAACUUACUUUUUGUCUCACGCUGCAGUAUCGCUACAGUAUCUAAUCUCACCGCCACCGCUGUUUUUACACUAACCGCAGCUAAACGCACCGCCCAUCCAAACUCACCCGAAGUUUGAGCCAUCGUCUUCGGUGCGAUUUACCUUAUCGACUGACAAGGGUAACAAUAAUGAAUAUUUGAAAUAUUUAAAUAAAGUUAUUAUUAUUAUUUAUUAUCUUAAUUAUAAAUUGCUUUACUUUUAUAAAUAAAAGAAGUGGAGCCAUUUUAUAAAUAUUUCUUUAGUUCAAAAUGUUAUACUGGAUUUGAAUUGGAUGAAGGUUGAUUACACAAUAAAUAAAAUAGUUUCGCAAAACUAUGAAACACAUUAAAAAUUUUAUUUUAAAGAAAUAUAACUAAAUUGCUAAAGCGAUUCAAUAUGUCAAUUAUUUAUCCCAUUUAGGGAAAAAAAAAAAGGAACCUUCAUUCCCCCAAAACUCAGGGAAUGACUAGCCUUAAAAAUAGUGAUAAUUAUGCUAAUUUUCAAUAUGCUUAUGUUUCAUCCACCCUAAAUCUUGCCCCCUAUAAACAUUCAUUACCACCAAAUUUCCAACGUUAACAAAGCAACUCCAUCUUAUUGGGAAAACAUGGAAACAAUCUUAAAACAAAACAAGCUUCUCGGUGAAGAGGAAAGCAAAGAUAAUUCUUUAAUGGCAGUCGACGGUGACUCUCCUCCGCAUUACAAUGACGACUGUUCAACGUCUCCUUUCAGGAAAUCUCCAUGGUCGUCUCACGAAUCCACUCAUUUAUAUGCUUCGGCUGUUGAAGACACCAACAACGUCACUCCUAACGUGCUCAUGGGUUCGUUGGUACGUGAAGAAGGGCAUAUAUAUUCCUUGGCUGCCUCUGGGGAUUUGUUAUACACGGGUUCCCAUAGCAAGAACAUUAGAGUUUGGAGGAACCAGAAGGAGUUUUCAGGGUUUAAAUCCAAUAGUGGAUUGGUUAAAACCAUAGUCAUUGCUGGAGAGAAGAUCUUUACGGGUCAUCAAGAUGGGAAGAUUCGGGUUUGGAAGAUUGCUAACAAAAACUCAGGUGUUCAUAAACGAGUUGGUACAUUACCAGCUUUUAAAGAUUAUUUAAUAAGCUCCAUGAAGCCAAGUAGUUAUGUUGAAGUGAACAGCAAUCGUAAGGCCGUAUGGCUCAAGCACAUCGAUGCUAUAUCUUGCCUUAGUUUGAAUGAAGAUAAAACGUUGCUUUACUCGGCUUCUUGGGAUAAAACAUUCAAAGUUUGGAGAGUUUUGGAUUCGAAAUGCUUGGAAUCCGUUCAAUCCCACGAUGAUGCAGUGAAUUCCAUUGUUGCAGGCUUCGAUGGGUUAGUGUUUACAGGCUCAGCUGAUGGAACGGUCAAGAUUUGGAGCAGAGAGUUACAAGAGAAAGGAACCAAGCAUAUCUUUUCACAGAUAUUGCUGAAACAAGAAUGUGCGGUUACGGCAUUGGCCUUGGACCUUGUUGCUACAAUGGUUUAUUGCGGGUCAUCGGAUGGAGUGGUUAACUUUUGGGAAGGUGACAACCAUCUCUUCCACGGUGGUGCUUUGAGAGGGCACAAACUGGCUGUUCUUUGCUUGGUAACAGCAGGGAACCUUGUGAUCAGUGGAUCAGCUGAUAUGGGGAUUACCGUAUGGAAAAGAUCGGGGGCUAAGCAUUUGUGCUUGUCCAUGUUAGACGGCCAUGCCGGUCCCGUUAAGUGCUUGGCAAUAGAAAGAGAUCCUGAUGAAUCAAUCCCUGGUCAAGAGCGGUGGAUUCUUUACAGUGGUAGCCUAGAUAAGUCGGUCAAGAUGUGGCGCAUAUCGGAAAGAGCCCCGCCUAUGACACAAUGGCGGCAGCAGUCUUACUCAUCAUCGGACACCAAACAUCUACCGGCCACAUUGCCAGCGAAUCCCGCUUUCUCUUCCCAAGGUGGAGUUGGCCAAAGAAAGGAAUAGUGGAUUCUAAGGACUUGAUUUGGUUGUUAGGUUUUCAAAGAUAAUAGGCAUUCAAUUAAGAUGUUCAUACUUCAUACAAGAGUCAAUCAAAUCCAUAAAAAUGUAUAUAUUGACUAACAUUUCCUUCCACAAACAGUGCUGAACUUGAAUUCUAUAUAAAUACCAGGUGAUGGAUUUCUUCUGAAUCAUCAACUAACAAGAAACUCGUCAAAUUUCUUUAAAUGCAUGCUUUGAGUGUACAAGUCUUGGGCAAUUAAUUCAAAGCAGCAUUUGCGAAUAAAAAACAGACAUCAAUUAAUGAAAGGCAGGGUUAGGCAUUUCUUAUUGGUUUGAACUUGGAAGUUGCCAUGUAUGAUCAAAAAAAGUGUCGGUACCUUUCCCUGUGUAAGAUUGAAACCAAGCACAUAUUUUGAGUUAAAACCCAAGCUUCCAAGGUUGCAAAGAACCGUACGAAGGGACAGCUGGCAUUCCGUUAUAUCGCAGUCAAGUUCAAGAGGCUUUAUUAAUUGCUCACAAGGAGGAAGAUGUAUGUUUCCCGUAUUAAAAGGAUUGGAACCCAAAGGCGUUGAUGCAGUAGGGAGAUUCUGAAAUGGGAUGAAGAAAGGACCAACUUCAGCACAAUUAAGCACUCAUUUUAUUGCACUGCAACUAGGUGGUCCUCCUGUCUAAUUUCUAGCCCAUAGAAAAGGUCCUGUACAUACUCUGCCCAUGUAAAUGCACAAGAGACGAGGGAGCUUAUGUGCCUUGCCCCGUUUUAGUGCAUCACAUCGGGUGUCAUGUUAUGGUGCUUUUAUUUGGUUACUAGCAUACAAAUUCGAAUGGAAUAGUAAAUCAAAAUAUCAUAUGCAGUGAGGAGAAGAUAUAUUUUUGUACAAAACAUUGUGUAAAUGCCACUUUGUGCACCAUUCACCACAUUCUUUUGAUGGCUAGAUUGUAGGUCGGGCCUAGCCAGGCUCCUCAAAUACAAUAUCAAAGCUCGUUUCCAAAAAAAUAUCCACUUAUCUCCUUGAGGCACAUUUAAAAUUUAUUUACGCAAAAGAUUAACUUGUCUUCUAUUAAUAGCUUAUUAUUCUAUUUAUUUAUUUAUUUUUGUCAUUUUCAUUAUUUUAUAUUUAAUACAUUUUAAUCACACAAUAAUGAAAAAAAAAAUCUAAUUUGUUUUAAAAUUAUUUAAUUAUUAUUAGUUAAAUUAUAUUUUAAUAUAAAUAUGUUUUAAAUAUAAUGCAUUUUUCAAGCUAACAUAUAUAAGUUUAUUUUAAUAAAAUUUCAUGAAGGAUAAUGAAAUAUAUUGUGUUAUAUUAUAUUAUUUAUUUUUGAAUCAAUUUCCAUGCAAAUACGGGUGAAUGCUUUAUAAUUAAUUUUAAUUUAAUUAUAUAUUAAAGUUAACAUUAAUACAUUAAAUUAGUUAAUUUAAAAUAAUAUAAUUACAAUUUUAGUGAUAAAAAAAAUUUUAUUAGUUAAAACAAAAUUUAAACAAAUAUUACUUUGAAUUUCUUUUGCUCAGUUAAUUUUCAAUUUCAAUAACUGAAAAUUGCAAUAUAUAAGUAACUUUGAAAACAAAAGGGUGUGAGAUUCAUAAACUAGAAAGGUUUGUCAGCGCCUAUUUUCAAUUUUUAGGGUUUUUAUAAUAUAAUUAAAAAAAAAGACUGAAAUGGUAUAGGGCAAAAAGUAAUGACGAAAAUGGUAUGGACUAGGGUGGUGCGACCUAUGGCAGUGGUGUGACCACUCUGGGUCCCACUGAUUCUGUCAUUUUCUGUUAAAAAGAAAAAAAGUUAAAAACGAAAAAAAUAAAAAAAAAGGGGUUGUGUGGGUGCCAGAGGCGGCACCGGUUGUGCCUCUGGCAUAGGCAGCACUGCCCCAUUAUAAAACCAACUUUUGGAAGCAAGAAGAAGCAGCAACUCGGGAAGCAGGAAGCAGUAGCAAGGAGAAGAAAAGAAAGAAAGGAGAAGAGAAGAAGAAGAAGGAGAAAGA